UUCGAUUAGCGACGAAAUCCGAAUGAUCCCAUCGAUGGAAUCGAGGUGCGACCGCUUUGCUUCGCUUUUUAGUAAAUGUAGCUGUGGCAUAUGUGGGGAAUCGAUAGUCGCAAUGGUUCGCUGAUAUUUGCUUCGAUUAAGGUGUUUGGUGCCGUAGAUCGAGGAUAGGACGCUGGAUGCAGUUCUGCUCUGUGUUGAUUGAUUGUUGAAGUCUAAAAUCAGGUGCUGUUUUUUGAGAUUACGAUUUCACAAUGUGCGGAAGGUAUCGCUAGAUGUGUUGGAAAAAAAAGUUGAUAAUUCUAUAGGUGAAAAGCGUGAACAAACAUGAGGUGUAUGGAUAAUCCAAUCUGAAAUUUAUGAGUUUUAGUUUAGGAGAGGAGUCUCUCGAUCUAUUGCAGUUAGAGUAGCUAUUUAGUCCAGGGAUAGUAAUUGUUGUGAUGGGUGCAUAGUUGGAUGGGAUGAUGAGUGCGCGCCAAUGUGGAUUUUGAUGUGAUUACGUUGCUAAUAUACACAUCUAUGAAAUGAAACAUACUUGAAUGACUGAAAAUAAAAAGAGAGGACAAGAAAUUAGAAAGGCUCAGCAGAUGUUUUCUUGUAACUUUUGCUUAAUAGUAUGCCCUAUUCUGUUCUACCCUGUUGGCUAUAUUGAUUAUGAUUAUCCGUUAUUGCAUACUCUGAAUCCAAAACUUAUAUGCUGUUGAUGAUAAUUCACUAGAACGCAUGUAAACAUAAUCUCAUUUCAGUUUGCAUUUUUACCAUUCUUAUCUGAAUAGCUUAGGCUACCUAUUCCUUAUGUUUAUAUUGAUCCUUUGAAACUAUAGAAAGUUUGUAGAUAUCCUGAACUUGGUGGGUUAAGGGGGGUGUUUGGAUCCUAGGCAAGAGCGAAACUAGCCUUGCUUGGCAAGGACAGCUGUUUGGUAGAUGCAAACUAAUCUUGCUUUGCCAGGCAAAGUGGCCAAUAACUGCCAGCAUAUCCUUGCCAACCGUCAAAAGCCAAUUCAGCUCUCCCAUGAAACAACACAGUGUGCCCAUCCUGUGGUGUGCAUGCAGUCAAAGAAGUGCUACAACCGUCCGGAGAUUGUGCUGGCAAGCAGUAAGGUGUUUGAACCAAACAAGCAGACUUGCUUCUUUGAGCGAGAGAUCAAACGGGUUAGCCUAUCUUAGCCUGGCUAUGAGUGGAGGAUCAAAACAUGCUCUAAUUCAUUCCUGUUUUCAAGCUAUUCUAUGAUGUGAAAUUGUUAAUGUAGCAGGCUUGAUACGCAUGCCUUGUGUUGCUCAUUUGUUUUUGCCCUUUUUGAAGUCCAUCAGUUAUUCAGUUUCAGCUUCUUCAUCUAACUUUUGUUUGUUUCAGGUUGUCAAAAGGCGAGCUGUAUCUGACAUUGAUAAUGAUGAUGGUGUGCACUUAGGAAGAAAACGAUCUGUGAGGGACAGACUAGGAAAUAAUAUGGUUGGUUCUGAGUCGUAUGAUGGCCAGCAGCGUAACAAAAGGUAUCUGUCUUGGACCUACAAAGUUAAUUGUGGGAAAAGCCUUUCUUGCCCGACAACUCUUGGCUCCAUCUAUUUUUCAUCCCUCAGCUAGAAAAUCACUAAAAUCUGCCCCUCAACCCUGAGAACCAGUUGAAAUAUGCUCUUCCACCCUAUUUGAUUGUUGUUUUGACUGAAAUGGUGUGCUAGUAUGAUCCAAUGUGGUGGUGGGGUCUGUUUUGUCACUGGAGGAGAGAAUAAGAGGAAAAUGUUGUUUCGAUUGCCACCAAUGACAUGUGGGCCUGACUACCACCACAUACUAACUAGAUAACAGGGGCUGUGAAUAGUAUUGCAGAAACUAUAGCAAACUACGAGUAUUGUUUUGUGCAUGUUGAGUGUCCUUUGAUUGUUAUGCACCCCCUAUUAUGUGUCAUGGAUCAGAUAUGUGUUACUAAACAUGUCAUUGGUUAAUUAAGUUCGACCAGUUGAUCAUUUAGCAUGUAUAUUUGAAUUACAACUGUUGGAUCAAUAAUUUAUCAAAUUUGUUAAUAACACUCUAAUAUUGUAUGGAGUAUUGAGCGGUUUACUUUCAUUUAUGUUUGUACUUGAUACUUAAUAGCAGAGCAGUUUUCUGUUUGUUGAUUGCGGUACCAUUUGCUCUCUCAUUCGUGUUAGCUGAUCUAGAGUCUAGACAUGCGGACAUGCACAAGCUUUUUUUAUUUUGCUCAACAAGUGUUCCUACAUUUAUAAGUCAAUAACAAUUAUGCUUUAUUUGAUAGCUUUGGUCUGUUAUGUUAUUCUGUGUUCCUUAGAAAGUAAUUGCUUACUAUACCAUUUACAAGAUGAUAUAAUUAGAUAUAUCAUGUUAGUUUCGUUAUCUCCCUUGCAUUCCGAUAGAUAUGAUUGUUUCAAUCCUAAUCAAUUGCUUAGAUAUUUUACUUUCUCAUGCCAGAAAUUUUUUACUCACUUUUCAGACGACAGAUAGAAACCAAUGGUUUGCAGCAUGGAGAUAAUGGUACGGGUGAUGAUGAACACUUCGUUUUCUUGCUUAUCCACUAAAAUGUAAAUGACCCCUGUUUGACAAUGAUAUUUUGUGCAUACCAAUAUACCACAUAAAGAUUGCCAGGUCGGUAGGGAUGAUUUGAGAUUGAAGCUUAUGAAGAAAGGCUUGUCUAGCAAUGGUGGUGCAGAACAGAAUGGAGUGGAUCUCCGUGAAAAGCUUUCCAGGAAACCUAAGAAUAUACGGAGGUAUGAUGCAAGAGGACAUGUUCCAGAAUCAAGGUCUAGAUAUGACGGAAGAGAUAAAAUUCCAGAAUUAAGGUCAAGAUAUGGCAUGAGAGAGAGGCUCCCUGAGCCAAGGACAUCUGCUCUUCCUAGUCGAAUUCCUUCUGCAAGAAGCAUGGAUGAUCUGUUGAAGUUGGACUCUUCAAGAGAAGCUUAUUCCUCGUGGUCUGGUAAUUUGAGGCACAGGUCCCCUGAAAAACUUAAAAGUGCUCGCAGAGAUAUGUCUCCCUCAAGAACAUAUGAUCAUAUUCGUUCCAUGCCACCCAUUAGAUCUGCUGGUACCUCAAGGACUUCAGGUCUCAUCACUAGAGACGCUCCUGAUGCAUUAAGAACUCAACCUUAUGCUGGCAAGUCUACCAUUUCUAUUGAUACAACUCAGCCAGCAAAUGGAGUUGCUUCAUCUGCUACAGUGAUGCCUACAGCUCCUGUGAUGGUUUGUAUUUUGUACUUCCUCUUGUAUAUUUAAUUUAGUCAUGAGUCUGAGUAAAAAGCAAAACUUAGCUAAAUUAGUUUCAUUAUUUAUUCUUGGCAUUUGGAAUUAUUUUGAACCAUGUGUUCUGUUUUAUAUUUAUUAUUGAAUAAAAAGUUACCUUAAGAAAGAUAUAUCUGUAAUAAUAAGGUUCAUCUUGUAGUCGUUUGUUACUACUGCAUUGGAACCAGAAGACCUUUAGUCACAUUGUUUAAGCAUGAUCUUUUGCAUUUACUUGCUGGUACAGAUCAUACAGUACAACUUCCAUUUGUGACAACGGACAACACUCUGCUUCCAUUCAAUAUGAUAUGAUAACUUUAGUUAUCCGUAUAAGAGCUCAACUAGUUAUGCUUGUAACUAGCUGAGGUGCUCUACUAAUUUUAUUAGCGAGUUUCUGAUUUUGUGUUUUCUUAACUAUCAUUUGUUCUUGCAAUUCUCUGACAUUGCUGUAUGCAAUUUUGCAGCCAGAAGUACCGCUAACAGUUACUGGGUUGCUGAAUUCACUAGGACUUGAGAAGUAUGUCUUCCUCUUCCAUGCUGAAGAGGUGAUUGACCAUUACUGAUUCAUUUCCAACCUUAAACCUAAUUAUGGUUCUAAUAUGAUUGCUAUAUUUAUGGUGUUCUUUUUUGUGGAUAAUCAUUUCUGUUAACCAUGGAGUACCUUACUGGCUCAUGUAUUAGUAUUUGAAUGCCUUUUGUAUUUGACCUUUUGCUUGCUACGGGUUAUUUGGUUUCUACUUUCUGAAAAAAGCUCUUGUGUUCUUUCCUGUAAGCUAUUCAUUAGCAGCUUUGUUUAUACUCACGCACACAAUUAUUCACUACAUGCUGCAUGUUCCAAGUGUAUGUGGGUCACCACCAUAAGCAUUUUUUUAGGUCAUGCAAUAUCCAGUAAGCAUAUGCCUGUUUUAGUGAGUACUUAUGCAUGUGUUCAAGCUAAUAGUAAGUUUUUUGAGUGUUCACUGGCGAUGCCAAUGUUUCUUUCCUUAUUGUUUAUUAUUUGUUUGCCCACAGGUGGAUAUGGCUGCAUUGAGUCAGAUGGGAGACAGUGACCUGAAGGAAAUAGGGGUACCAAUGGUAAGAUGUACUUUUUAUUCAUACUAGCAUCUUUACAUAUAUGUACUCUCUCCAUUUCAUAUUAUAAGUCGUUUGACUUAGUCAAUAUUCUUUAAGUUUGAUCAAUUUUGUAGAAAAAUAUAUUAACAUUUUCAAUACAAAACAAACAUAUUUGGUAUUGUAAAUGUUAGUAUUUUUUUUCUAUAAACUUGGUCAAACCUAAAGAGCUUUGACUAAGAAAAAAGUCGAACGACUUAUAGUAUGAAAUAGAGGGAGUAGAAAUGUUCUAGUUCUGAGUAUUUUGUUACUGAAGUACUAUUGUUCUUAUCAUUGGUUUGAAUUAUUAUCUGGAUACUGCAUAAUGGACUGUGAAUCUGUGAUUAGAGUUAGUUUGAAUCGUCAAGUCAAAAGGACCUGCAAACUAUAUCAAUCACUCAUUUAGUACAUAACAGAUUAGUGCACCAGCCUACCAGAGCUUGUCUCGAUGAGAGUAGAUUAUUGUGUCUCACUAAAAGUUUCCACUCCAAGAAUCCAAUUCAUUCAAGCUGGUCACGUUUGCUCAACUUUCGAACAUAAUGGGUUACACAGGGCUGUGGCAUGCAGUGCUGCCUAAUAUUUGUGCUAGCAACUUGCCAUCUCAUCACAUGCCAGCAAGUAUAACAUUUUAAUGUCAAGCCUGAUUUGUAAAACUAUGAUUCUGUUUGUGUAUUUAGACAUGUGUUGUAACACAAUCCAUGUUAUAGGUCCACCAUCUCAUUUAACUACUAUUGCAAGGAUGUGUUGCACUAUAUGCUGUGUUUUCCUGAAGUCUGCUAGCAUGCUUAAUUAAUUGAACCCCACGAAAUGGGAGGUCUCCUUUCACCUAGAGCAUCUAGCAGAGAUUAUCAGCAUCUCAAACAUGCUAGUGUUAUUUGCAGUAAUUUUGACUCGUGGAAUAUUAUUUGAUGGAUCAGGGUCCUAGAAAGAAGAUUCUCCAGGCAGUGGCACCUUAUUCAAAACGGCGUAGAUGAACAGCAUGCUCAGGAACUUGGGGCGUUCGUGGGCAAUGACAAUUUAUUGGUGUAAGCUGCUUCAUUGCAGAUCUUGUAUAUCCCAAUGGUCUAGUGCUCUAGUCAAUCCGUUUCAUUGCUGAUAGAUCAACGCAUCGCUUUUCUUGGCAUGCAUAAUCUUAUCUGUCAGCUGAUGAUCCCAAUCCUGUUAUUCACGACCUGCCCCUUGUGUAGCAGGAUCUGAAACAUGGAUAUGUAGCUUUGCUACACUAACCAGUCAGUUUUUUCUUCCUCUUUGGGAAUUGGGAACAUCGAUGACCUGUAAUCGAAAUCCCAUGCUUUAUGACCUUGGGAGCGUUGGCAAUUGAGUUUACUGGAACAUACUAGUGUUAAGAUUGUGUACAGAAUGCGAAACAGACCGUUGUGUUUUUUGUUAAGUAUUUUCGGUGUUAAUACCCUUCCUGUUUACCUCGGUUGCUAGUUUGUACGCGUAAGUCCGUCAUGGUCUAUAAUUGUGUGCUGAAGCUAUAAUGGUAUAAUUCUCCUGUAGAAUGAUAAUCUUUGGUCACUGUACAAAAAAAUGCACUGACGGAUGGUUGCAUGUGUCUCGUUUAUAUACAUAGGCCAAACCCCGUGCACAUCUGUCAAUUGGGAGCCACCAGCUCUAAUGGGCGUUCAGUACGAGCAAAUUAGUACGGAGUACUAUACCUUAAGCUCGGUCCUAAUUUGGCAAAUUAUUGCGCAUUUACGCCAACUGUUCCCUCGAGGCGACCAUGAACAUCGUACCUAAUUACUGCUAAUCCAGAUUAUAACAAGAAAGGAGUGGGAUCUACUAUUGCUGCAGCACCCAGAUGCUUCCUGUCCCUGCCGAAUUAAUCAUCAGGAUAGGAUGCUUCAUGCUUCGGCUCUUUAACGGCGCUACCUGGCCUUCGUUGUCAGCCGAUCAACAACGCAACCAAAAGCUCCCACCCGACAAGUACCGGCCUUGCACUGUUUCAUCGGUCUAGAGCAGCAGAGCAACCCACAGGUUGGCCGAUUUAUUAUGCCCCGUGCUGGUGCUGCGCUUCAACCGCUCGGUGGGAAGAGUACGAAGCAAAUGCCGCCUUUCGCCUCCAUGUGCGCAGCGGGCGGCUAUCCCGCUUGUUGUGGUGGAUUGGUGUUUUUUACAGCACGAGAGGCAAUCCACCGUUUGUUUUUUCUGCUCGCAGCUGGGGCUCGGUGGCGUGGCUUUUCACGCGAGAUUAAGCUUUUUUUUCUAAUAAGCGCGUAAUUGAGCCGGUUUGGACAACGACAUCGACAUGAACAUCUUUCCUAUUGUAGGAUGUAGGGACGUACAUGGUUAACGAUAAUGACAUGUAGUAACAGCAAAGCUGAGAACACCAACGUUGAGUCCCGGCCUUGUUCACCCUCCCUCACCUUCCACUGCGUGUAGAGUAUCAUCACAAUUUCGACGUAAACACAUCACAAAUUCAGACAAAGCUCGUUGAAUCCAAAAUCCUAAUAAGUUGCCAGAUUUUGGCCGCACCAUUACACACGAGGAGACCGAAUCAGAUGAUCAGAGGACGUCGCAGUGCCGCCUGACGACGCCCUGGCGGCCAGUCUUGACGCCGACGGCGCCGAGCUUCUGCAUCGCCGCGGCGAAGUCCUCGAAGAAGGCCGUCCGGUUGUCGGCGUAGCGCUGGACGAACACCCUCGUCGCCGGGUACUCCCACAGCGCGGCGUCGGAGGCGAGCAGGCCGAGCCCGCGCGGCAGGUUCUUGAAGUAGACCUCGUCGAACUUGCCCGGUGUCAUGAUGUCGUUGAAGAUGGAGAUGGUCGGGUCGCUCCUGUAGUUGGCGCAGGAGCUCUGCAGCGCGCGCGCGAACGCCGGGUUCAGCGACGGGUCGUACCCGUCGGCGCUCCUGAAGCUGUACAGCCUGUGCGCGAACUCGCCGCAGUGGGAGAACCCCACGGUGUGCGCGCCGGCGAGCGCCACGAGCUCCCGCGGCGUGAACCCCUUGCGCGCGAACAGCACCGCCAUGGCGCGCGCGGACAUGUUGGUGCGCGGGAGGUUCCCCUCGACGUCGCGCGCGUCGGACCGGCGCGCGUCGCGGCGGCCCAGCGCGACGGGGAACCGGGGCCCGCCGAGGAUGCCCACGAGGUCGCGCGCCGCCAGCGCGAGGAUGUCGGCGCAGGAGACGGUCCCCGGGCAGGCCACCUCGAGCGCGACCUUGGCGCGCGCCACCACGUCGAAGGAGUCGCCCGGGAGGGAGAGGUUGAUCUCCGCGGCGCGCUCGGGCGACCGGUCGGCGGAGAGCGGGGAGACGAGGACCGAGGCGUCGCACCCCCCGACGAAGCAGUCGUGGAAGAAGAGGCGGAGCGUGCCCGCCGCCGUGGACGGGUUGGCGCGCUGCUUGGCGGCGACGACGUCCGCGACGAUCCGCUCCACGCGCGGGCAGCUGUGGCGGUAGUAGUUGGGGGACAGCCUCCCCGCCGCCCCCGCGCCGCCGCCGCCUCCGCCGCGCGCGGCGACGAGGCCGGCGGCGAGGGCUAGGAGGGCGCAGCGGAGGAGAAGCGCGCCCAUUGGCGGCGGCGGCGGCGGUGAUUCUUGGCUCGAUUUGGGGGAGGAGAGAGAGGGGGGAAAGGUGGUGGAGAGAGAGAGAUAGAAAGAGAGGAGGUGAGGGGGAUUAGUGGAGAGUGGGAGUGUAGUGGAGAGUGAAUUAAUUGCUGGGGUUUAAGGGGUGGAGGCGGUAGUACGCGGUGGAUUGUAAAGACGGGAGAGCAGCUCGAGGCCGGGAACGGACGGAUGUUCCUCCUCUGCUUGCGGCGCCAUUUCAGCAUAUACAGUUUUUCUUUACUUUUACCAACGGAAACAGUCUCAAAUUACUACUAGUACUUACUUUUAGUACUUGCAGACUGUUAAAAUGACUCAUCAUCAUGGUAGUAGUAUACAUGAUCCGUCUUACUCGAGCAGAUAAUGAUGAUGGGAAGAAGAACGAUAGCUCCAAUAUUAAUUGGUGCGAAACGUAGCCAGCGGCCACAUAGCACGCUGCACGCCAUAUAUACUUUGUGUGGCCUGGCCAUACGCAUCUGGUGCAUGGGAUGGGAAGCCCUGCACAUGCACUAGACUAAACUGAAAGCUACCCCCAACGUGUCCUGGAGAUUUUACGCUCCCAUCCUAGCUUCAGUAGCCUGUGUGGGCUGUGGUGUGGACCUGAUCGUUACGUGCAAAUUUCUUUGUCCGGAUAUGCCUUCGUUUCGUUUUGACUCUUAUAAUUUUAACCUUCCAACAAAACUCCCCAGAUUAGAGCAUCUCCAAGAGACUAGCCAAAUGACUCUACAAGCUAAAAUUUGGCUAACUUGGACAAAAAAAUCUACUCCAACAGACUAGCCAAAUAACUCUCCAAGCUAUCCGGCUGGCUAAAUUCCCCUCCUCACUGGCCAAAGUUGGCCAGCCAGGACGGCUUGCCAUCUGGUGUGCAUCCCACCCUCUAUCCUAUCUCUCCCCCUUUCCCCAUCCGCCCCAUCCGCGCAACGCCGCCGCCGGACGUCCUCCUAGCACUCCAUCUGCCCAGCGCCGCCGCCCCAUCCUCCCGGCCCCGGCGCCGCGUCGAUGUUCUCCCGGCUCAUGCUCUUCUCGUCACCGGCGUCGUCUCCGCCAACUCGGCCCCCAUCGUCGGCACCGCCGCCCGCCUCGGCAAAGCAGUUAGCGGUGGCGGCGGCCAAAUCCUCGUCAAAGCUGCAACCCCCAUCACCGUCUCGACCACCGCCGAUCUCGUGUGGCGACCCCCUCCGUGGCUCCGUCGAACUCCUCCCGCGGCCGCCUCAUCCGCAUGCACGCGGGCUCAUGUGUGAAAGGAAAGAAGUAGUAGAGACUGACGUGUGGGACCCACCGUUAAAUUGGAGAAUGGGAUGGAGAGACUGUUGAAGUAAAAGGUAAUUAUAACUAGCUACUUUUUUUGAUAGUUGGCUAAAUAGACAUAUGAAGAGUCUAAAAUAGCUAAUCUGUUAGAGAUACUCUAACGUUACGCUUCAGUGGAGUAGCGAUCUAGCAGCGGUAGGUAACUAGCCUAGCGCGGUACUGUUGCUUCACUGAUCGACAACGGCAGGCUGCAUUUGCGCUGCUGUACGUAGUGCUGUUAUGUGUGGCCAGUACGGCAGCACCGUUGCUGGUGUGGGUGCGUUCCACGGAGAAAAAAAAAGAAGUGCGCUCUUCACGGGCAGCACCGAAGAAGAUCGUUGUUGCGACAUGGCAAAGCCGCAGACAAAGACUCCGAGAGAGGAGCACGAGGAGCAGUAGCGCGGAAGCCGCCGCCCCGGUCACCCGGCCGCGCGCGCGCGCGCGCCCCUCUCUGCGCGCAUCACGUAUAACCGCGCGCGCGAUCGACGCGGCCGCCGGAAACGGAUGGAUGCAGGCAAACUGGCUGCGAGAGGUGCUUGGGGUUCACACCGGGCCCGGUCGCAGCUUGUUUUGGUGGUCUCCAGCUGUGUGGUUUUAGUGCGUCUUCUUUCGGCCGUGGAGGCCGGGUAGCGUAGCGUAGGCUAGGUAUGGACAAACGGGAGAGAAUCAUCACAAGGGGAGCAGAGCACUAGCCCUAAGGCCAUCACCAAUGUAUAUGGCAAAUUGAUCCAUAUAGAUGGGACUCACAUAAAUAAUUUAUCCCUAUAGUAAUCUCUACAAUGUAUAUAGAUAUAAUGUAUCAUUAGAAGAAGAGAGAGGAGCAGAGAUAGAUAAUAUAAUUUAUUUCAUAUGGGUAGUCCAUAUGCAUAUGGGUAUCUUUUGCUAUUUUUUUUAUAUGGACUAGUUGCACAAUAGUAAUAGGUGUAAUAGGUGGCUGAAUGGAAUAUUCUAUUGCUUAUGGACUACUUUUACACCACAUUGUGAUGCCCUAAUGGUUUACUACUGCUUUGGAGUUUGAAGCCAUACUUAGCGCACACGCCUCAGGGUUCACAUGACUACUCCCUCCGUCCCAAAAAAGACAAACACUAAUUUCCGUGCCCAACAUUUGACCGUCCGUCUUAUUUGAAAAAAUUAUGAAAAAAGUUAAAAAGACAAGUCACGCAUAAAAUAUUAAUCAUGUUUUAUCAUCUAACAACAAUGAAAAUACGAAUUAUAAAAAAAUUCAUAUAAGACGAACAGUUAAAGUUGGACACGGAAACCUAGGGUUUGCCUUUUUUCAGGACGGAGGGAGUAUACAUUACUCCAUCCGUCCAAAAUACAAGAGAUUUUAGGUAGAUAAAACAUAUUACCUUUGUUUUUUAAAUAGAUAACGCUAUUGAUUUUUUUCUCACAUGUUUGACCAUUCGUCUUAUUCAAAAAAUUUACGCAAUUAUAAUUUAUUCUGUUAUGAGUUGUUUUAUCACUCAUAGUACUUUAAGUGUGAUUUAUAUCUUAUACAUUUGCAUAAAAUUUUUGAAUAAGAUGAAUGAUCAAAUAUAUAAGAAAAAAGUUAACGACGUCAUCUAUUAAAAAAAGAGGGAGUACAUCCUCCGUCUAAAAAAAUUAAUCUCAUACUAAAAUAGGAUACAUUCUAGGAGGCAUAAAUUGUUCAGGGGACCGACCAGCCAACCCGGCUCUCGUAUGCACGCACGGCAGCAUGUGCCAACAAAACGUCUCAUCUGUGGAUGUAAAUUAAUUUGCCCGUGUUUCACAGCGGUACAACACCUCCACUGUCAAUGCCAGCUGUUCGUUAACAUAACAUCAACAAGAGAAAGAGAGAGAGAGGGAAAAAAAAACGUGCCCCGACGAGAAGCUGCGACCUGGGAAUGCCCAAAACCGAAGUGCGACCGAGCAGACGACGCAUCGCAGCACCCACCACCAGAACGCGGCGGCCCAACGACAGCUUUGCUGUGCUACUGCAGCGAUCCGCGGCUUCAGUUCCAGACCGGGACGACUCCGUCUUGACGCGUCCCCUCUCGCGGUUGGGUGGGACGAUGUGCGGACUGUGAGGCGUACGCGGGUGGGUGGGAGGACAUGCGGCGACCGUGGGGCGCAUGGGCCUGGAUUCCGCACCGCGUCCAAAACAAAUUUUUGGACCACCAACGCCGUGGCCUGUAGUGUUUCUCGCGAGGAUUCAGGCCUUCAGCCUGAUACGGCCCGCGCAACGUAGUGGGCUUUCAACAUGUCAACUACCAGACUUAACGAAGCAAACUCACUGCUCCCAAUGGCCAGGACACGCGAGAUUGCGAGUAGGCGAGUUGCAAUGGCCGGGACACCGCAUUCCCAAUGGCUGGUCAGCUGGUGCGUCGUACUUCUGCUGCGCAUGAGCAGUGGUCACUGGUCAAUGGAGACACAUUCAGCCGAAAAUGGUUGGUGUCACGACUACCGGUGUUUGCAUCCACGAAUCGUACGUGACACAUUGUGUUUGCAACCAACCACGAUGAACGUUCUGGAUCUUGGGCUAAGCAACCACAGCAGCACAAACGGACAUGGCACCAGUGACAAAACUUGGUGGAAGUUGGUAGCGUUACUCCCCCCGUGCCUCCUCUUUUUACUCCCAUAGUAUUCCACGACUUUUAGCUUAAAGAUAGUACUCCUCCACUACUACACUGUAGUACAUGGACAAGCAUAUCCGCGGUCCUGGCAACACGACAACGCAUGCGACACAAGGACUGACAGAGUGUAUGUACAUGGUGAUAAUGCAGACGGUACGUGCAGCAUUUGCAGUGUGUGCUAUGGAUGGAUUGGUGGAGGCUUGGAGCUGGGACCGGAGGCUAAAGUUUUUCUUUUUCUUCGAGUUUUUCUUUGCUUUGGAUGCAUCAUGCAUGUUUAUCCUCCGUGAAGAUUCCUCUCGCGCUUUCUCGUUAAUUGCUCAUGAUCUCAGUUGACAACUUGGCAUGCCUCCUGUCUCCACGAUCUUGUGGAGUUUGUCCCUAUCACAACUUCGUAGUGGCACGGUGGGUUUUGGUGAACAACGCGUGCAAGAUUUGUAUUACUCUCUUCCUUUCCAAUUUGUUAUAAAUGGUAGUGAGAACAAGAUUGCAUCGUUUCUUUUACAAUUAAACCUCAUUGAUCAUUUUUAUUUAAAAUUAAACCUCACCGGUCAAAGUUUUAUAUUAACCAUACCACGAUAUCAUUUAUUCAUACACAGAUAAACGAACAGAUCAUAUAUAUCUAUAAAGUUCAUACCCACUAAGUAUAGUUAAUGCUAAUUCUCUCUUCUCUAAUGAUGUCACAUUAUCCUAAUUGUUUUUAGUUUUUUGAUGAUUCGUCAAGGGUGUAAAUUGCUUCUCUUCACAUCACCUCAAUUUAAGCUUUUAGAUGAUUCAUAAAGGGUAUAAAUUACAUCUCUUCCAUCCAAAAGACACACCAUACAAUCCAAUUAUUUAUAAUCUAUGGAUAAUUGAUAAAGGUAAAAAAAAUGGGGUACCAUCUAGUAUAUAGUACAACAAUGACUCUUGCACACGUAAACAACAAAGAUGUCAUGGACUUGAACACGAAUAGAUAUCGGUUAAAUGAUGAUUAAUUUAAAAUAAUCUCAAAAAUAUUUAGAGAUGAUUAAAUUGGGACGGAGACAUGAUCAAAUUGAUUAGGAUGGAGGGUAGUACAUCGGUUAUUCGGUUUCACGUGAACAUCGAGAAAAGUUUUUUUUUUCCAGGCUAAUUCCGACCAGAAGUCUCUGUUUUUCCACCAACAGCUCAUGCUGUUAUGGAAAAAGCAUUUCCUCUACCCCAACAUGUUAACCCAUCGUCCCCAUCCCAGAGUUACUGACCAGAAAAGGGCGCAGAUAUCGCAGAGCAUUGUCUCGAGCAAGAACACUCCUUCGAACAUGUGAAGCAAGCGAGACCAAAAUAUAUCAAGCGUGAUUCAAGCCGAGAUGGAUUUCACUAGUCCUUUUUUACACAACAAAACAUACUAGAGGUCCAGAAUACUAACAGUAACAGCUCGUCAACACCCUCUCUUCUCUCAGGAAGAAAAAAAAAGAAAAAGAAAAAAGGAUAACUCUGGAAAGACAGAAACCCAACGGACAACACCAACUACUCAACUAGGAGCAAUGCAAAGCUAAAUUAAGCUAGAUCUAGGCAGGCAGACGGAUCGUAUUCGUGCGCGCUUAGCUCACGGGCACUUGGUCAUGUUGUUGUGCGAGACCCAGUCGGUGUAGCACCUGCCGCAGGUCUCCCGGUUGCCGGCCGUGCCCGCCGGGACGCAGCGGCACGCGCUGCAGCACGUGAGGCAGGAGCGGCUGCACCGCUUCUUGUGCGAGUGCUCGCUGCACCGCGCGUCGCACGCCCCCACGCAGUCUGCCACCAAACCAACCAACCAAGCGCGCCAGGUUAUCAUCAGUAGCACAAUGAAAUGAGCUGCCUCGGGUUGUUCAGGCAAAUGUGGGCACCGUGCAGUACAUACCUUUGCCGGGGUCUACGAUCUUGUGGGGAGGCGGCCCAAGGGGAGGAGCCGGAGGGUAGUCUGCGGCCUACAAAAUACAAGCAACCAUGCAUUCGGCCAACUAUUAGAGCACAAGAAGAGAACACAUGAAUGUGUGUGUUUAUGCAGCUAGUUGUGCAUUUGUGUGUGCUUUUACCUUGAUGGUGUUGAGGAGGAGGAGAGACGCCAGGAGGGCGAACACCGCGAGCUUGCCGGGAGCCAUGGCGACGGCGGCCGGCCGGCGGGCGAGGACGGGCCGAGGUAGAGCUUCUCUUGAUGGAGAGAGGAGGAGGGGCCUUGAGUGAUUGAUGAGUGGCUGGCUGGCUGGCAGUGUGCUGGGAGGGCAGUGAGGCGGGUUAAAUAGAGUGAGCAGCUAGCAAAGCAGGGGAGUGAAGGAGGCUGGAGAGUGGCAGUGGCACAGUGUGUGGGAAGUGUCAGGGUAGGGGUGAACGUGGCCGUGGUCAAGGGCUCAAGGCGCCAGGUUGGCUCCGGUCGGAGUGAAUGCAUGCAUGCAGUCAGUCCGUCAGUCACUCGCCAGUACUCCCUCCGUCAAAAAAAAAAAAAAAAAAAAGACAAAUCCUAGUUUCCGUGAUCAACGUUUGACCGUCCGUCUUAUUUAAAAAAAUUAUAAAAAAAUUAAAAAGACAAGUCACACAUAAAAUAUUAAUCAUGUUUUAUCAUCUAACAAAAAUGAAAAUAUGAAUUAUAAAAAUUUUUUAUAUAAGACGGACAGUUAAAUUUAGACACGAAAAUUCAGGGUUUGCCUUUUUUUACAGAGGGAGUAGCUUUGACACGUACGGAAAAGGUGAGUAAACAACGUUCACUGGGCGGCAUAUGUUAAAACAUAUCAUACUUUACGUGUGACCGUUUUUUUAAAAAAAUUAUAUAAAUUUUUAAAUAAAGCGGAUGGUUAAACGUUGGAAAAAAACCUAAAAUUAUGUUUUUUUAACAGAGAGAGUAUAUUGACUAGAAAUGUGACAAGUUAUAAUAAAAAAAUUACGACUAUGUUAUAUAGAGAUAUAAGUUAAAAGAAAAUAUGGCAUGUUAUAAGUGUGGCGAUAAACCAAAAUAUCAAGAUGCCUAGCCAUCCUUGUAGUGACAUCGCAAGCAAACAAGCUGCUACUGCUCCUCUUGCUUGAGGAGGAAAUGCUACGUGUCCUCGUCUCUAUUAGAGACACGACUAGCGACUAGCACGAUGAGUUGACCGGCAAUGUGCUAUCAAAAACUAAGAAGUGGAGAUGACAAUUGAAGGAUGGGGAUGGAGAGAAAUUGUGAGGGAGUGAUACGGUUCUAACUUUAAAAUAUUACAAUAGCAUCUAACAGAUUUUCUAAAUAGUAAUAUUAUUUUUCUAAUAUAAUAUAUUUACGAUGAUAUAGAUCUAAUUAAUCCUUAGUUUUUAUAGUAUUUGUUGGCUAUAAGUAUGAUGUGUCAUGGCAAAAGUUUGUAAGUACUUUGCUUUAGAAAAAAUGUGAUGUUACAAAUGUGACAACAAAUCAAACACUAGUUUUACUUGAUGAAAAAGCCUAGCCAUAAGUUUAGCAAAUUGUAGCAUCUAAACAAAACACCCCGGUAUCGUAGGGCACCACACUCUUCUGUGCAAAGCUAGUAGUCCUUCAGUUUUAACUUUAGAACAAAUAGCAGAGGACAAAUCACUCUACCACAUCCAACCGUCCGUUACAAGAAAAAAACAGGCAUAUGAACACGGUAGCGUUGAGGGGGUGUUUAGACAAUAGGCGUAAAGUUUUGACGUGUCCCAUCAUGUAUUAUAUAGAGUGUUGUAUAGGGUGCUCGGACACUAAUAAAAAAACUAAUUACAGUAUUUAUUAGUAAACCACGAGACGAAUUUAGUAAGCAUAAUUAAUCAAUCGUUAGCACAUAUUUACUGUAGCACUAUAUUAUUAAAUCAUAAAGCAAUUAAAGCAAUUAAGUUUAAAAGAUUUGUCUCAUAAAUAGUUGUAAUAUGUACAAUUAAUUAUUCUUUAAGUCUAUAUUUAAUACUUCAUGAAGAUCUUUAAAUGUUCGAUUUGAGGGUGUAAAAUUUUAGAGUGUCAUUGGCUCGCGCGCCGUGCAACGCGACACGCGGGGAAGACAGACACACAGCGUACGGUAGGGGGUUUGGUGAGUGGCACGCCGGUGAGCGUACGAGAGGAGAGAAGGCGCGAGAGGGCUGGGCGAUCCGUGCGCAGUGGGUGCAGGUGCUGAGCUGCAUUCCACCGAGAGCCGAGAGGGAGAGAGGGAGAGGGAAGGGGCCAGGGGAGCAUGUUGCAUGUGCGAGCGUGCGAUGCACUGCACUGCUCUGGGCGAGCGCCCAGGCGAGAGGCUCUGGAGCCUGGGCCAUGUCGUACAACAAGGCUACUCCUACAUGGAGUACAUCGCGUGCUGGGGCACGUCACGCCGCCCCAGGCUUUGUCGGAUCGGCUUGGAAAAAAUCAGCGCCCCAGCAAGCAGCUGGAGGCCUUGAGUACUCCCUGCACCAUCCAUUCUUAAAAAAAAAAUAUAAAAUCAAACUCUAAAAAUAAACCUGAACAUAUGUUCCUACAAAUUCAUCCCAAAAAUUAAUUUAUUAUGAUACAGAGUGAGUACGUUUUAAAAUAAAUAAAUCUAAUAUAGAAUAUGAUACACCCUAACACUAUUUAGAUUCGUAGAACUAUAAUGUGUCACGUUUUGUAUUAGAUUGAUUUAUUUUAAAACGGAUAGAAUAGACUUGAGCAUUUUCGUCUCUUCUUUAUUUUAGUCUUUUCCCCUCUUUCUUGGCAUAAGUUGGUCUGACUGAUUGCGUCGUGUAACAAACAUUAUAUUAUUCUAAUAUAUUGACGUGUAAUCCUUUUGCACGUUCGAGAAAAAAAUAGACUAGAGGAGAACAGAAAGUAAAUCUUAAGGACUUAAAAAGUGAAUUAUGUUUUUCUUACAAACCCAAGAAUGUGUUCAAACCUUGGUAACUCAUUCUAAAUAGCUCAUUAGUGUAUAAUUAAUUAAGGAAGCUGCUAUAUCAUAAGGUCCCGUCUGGACACGAUGAUGCCGUAUAGGUAUCGAAUCCUAAUACUUCUGAUACCUAUGAUGUAUCAUGGAUAUAUCAUGUGAUACUUCACGGUAUCAAACGACAACACAUAGGUAUCGACUAAUUAUCCGUUGAUAUCGUGCCUAAUAACGAUCAGUAUCAGGCCCUGACCAUACCGGUUGGUAUCAAGUAUCAACCCGAUUCUUAGAUACCAUGAUGUAUUGUACCAUGCCUCUGCCCCUCUCUCUCUCUCCUCCUUCAAUCCACCUGUACAUCCUACUUCUCUUCCGUCUUUAACACCAAACAAACUCCUCCCUAAAUUUACUCCCUUUCUCCUGUAUAAAGAACAAGAAAGAGAUAAAAUAGUUUGUGGUUGAAUAUAUGAAUCCGUGGAUGGAAAAUAUCCCACUUUUAUCUCACGCGGGAGAAUCAACUGCGCUAGCAACAACAUUUUGUUGCAAAUCGGCUGGCGUCCUUCCGCCGGGCCAGGUUAAUAAUACUCCCUCCGUUUCAAAAUAUUUAACGCCGUUGACUUUUUAGCACAUGUUUGACCGUUCGUCUUAUUCAAAAAAUUUAAGUAAUUAUUAAUUCUUUUCCUAUCAUUUGAUUCAUUGUUAAAUAUAUUUUUAUGUAGGCAUAUAAUUUUACAUAUUUCAUAAAAGUUUUUGAAUAAGACGAACGGUCAAAUAUGUGCUAAAAAAUCAACGGUGUCAAACAUUUUGAAACGGAGGGAGUAUUUUGUUGCGCGCGUUGCCGCUUCUCUAAUCCAAUUUCCACCCAUAUCAAGCUCACCUGAGUCAACGAUGACAAGGGAGUACUGCAUCACCAGAUGCCCAGGCGGCCAGGCCGACGACUCUGCAGGACAGCUCAUGUUUUUGGGAAAGGCUAACUCGCGCGUACGCGUUGCCCGCGCGCACGCCGGCCCAUUAAGACCCAUGCACACACGCGUUUCCGUUUCUCUCUUUUUUUUUCUUUUUUUUACGCCGCAGUUUCUUCUUUUUUUCGAUGUUUGUUAUUCCUCCCGUACGGAUAGAUUAGUUCCAUAUUUUUACUAGUGAUUAGUUUACUAGUAAUUUUUAAAUCUUAACUUCGAAAUUUUCAAAUCUCGAGUUGAAAGUUUUUAAAUUUCUAAGUUGAAAGUUUUCAAAAUUUUCAAAUCUGGACUUGAAAGUUUUUGAAUCGAGUUGAAAGUUUUCAAAAUUUUCAAAUCUGGACCUGAAAGUUUUCAAAUCUCGAGUUGAAAGUUUUCAAAUCUGAGUUCAAAGUUUUCAAAUCUUAAGUUGAAAGUUUUCUAAACUUUCAAAUUUGGACUUGAAAGUUUUCGAAUCUGAGUUGAAAGUUUUCAAAUCUCGAGUUAAAAGUUUUUAAAAUUUGACUUUAAAAUUUAAAUCUUAAAUCAAAAGUUUUCAAAUCUGACUUAAAAUUUUUCAAUCUGUUAGUAAAAAAAUCUCCCGAAAAUUUUUUCCCUAAUUACUCGUCAUUAGUGUUAAGUGGGUGUUAACUAAUAUUAGUUAGGGAGGUAAUACUACUCUAUAGAGUAGUUAGGGAGGUGCUCGCUGCUGGCGCGCACGCGCCAGCUAGCAGCCCCCUAUGUUUUUUCCAAGGGAACAGCGGACAGCUCGCCAUCGGGUAGGCCCAAGCAUGGCCCACCAGCCAUCGGGCCGGCAUGGCCCGGUCGGCACUUUGUGCCAGGCCAUGCCGGCCCAUGGGCUGCACCUCCGACCCAGGCACGACCCACCAGCAGUCAGGCCGUGCCGUACCGGCCCGAAGGCACGGGUGGCCUAUAGUACCUCUUUUAAAAUAAGUCUAUUUUCCCUCCCUCCCUUUUGGGCUGUGACACACAUAUAUAGCUAAAAUAAGUCUAUUUUACGUCCCUAUUCUUUGGACCAUGGCAUAUAAUAUGUCUAUUUUUACUCCCUAUUGUGUGUCGGGCCUGGCUGGCGACCCAUCCAUCGUGCCGUGCCGGCCCAACGUGCCCGGGGGGGGGGGCAGGCACAGCCCGGCGGUCGGGCCCGGCCCCCGUCGGGCCGUGCCGUGCUUGGGUGGAGCCAAAAUGGCAUGCCAUGGGCCAGGUCGUCGGGCCUUAUGGCCAUCUAUAUCUUCAGGUCCGUGCAUAUGGGCCAGCCUGCAGGCCCGUCUAUCCUUAGACCAUUUACUGCACUCCUAUGUGACGUAUAAACUCGUCCAGCCAUGUAAAGACACUGGGCUGUCAUGGAAGGAAAAAUAGGUGGGCCCAUGUGUUAACGACCAAAUUGCUUCUCAUGUCUUAUGUUGGCUACAAGAUCCUCGCCUGCAAGCAUCUGACACAGGGCCCAAGUCGGCGGGGAGGGGAGAAGGGGAAGUGACGGCGCUACACGUCGGGGUUGUCGUCACCGAGGGCCGUCGUGGUCGUCGUCGCCGAGGGUUGUCAGGGUCACUGUCGAUGAAGACCAUCGGGCCGCCAACAGAUCAGUCGCCAACUCCGCCGUCCAAGAAGAUCCAACGGUGAUGCCGCCACUGCAAUCAAAUCGGUUGGCGAGAGGAGGAUGAGGCGAACGUCCUCAUGGAGCGCCAGCACCGCGAGCAGUCGUGCCAUCCACGUCGGCGCAGGCGCCAUCAGAGCUCGAUCCACGGCCUCCGAGCUCGGUUUGCGCCACCAGAACUCGAUCCGCCGCCACUGGAGCUCAACUCGCGGAGAGAAAGAGGGCUUUGCCACCUUCGCCUCCGACCGCCCUUUCCGCCUUCGUUUGCUAGGCCGCCGGCGGGGUGGGGAGAGAGAGGAACGAUGGCAAUGGAGAGGAGAGAAGCCGGCGGAGGGGAGAAGAGGUGGCAGUGGAGAGGAGAAACACCGGUGAAGGGGAGAAGCAGCGCCAGUGGAGGGGGAAAGAGAUGGCACCAUUUGAGUUUGAGCGAGGGGGGGGGGGGGGGGGGGGGAGCAGCAACCAACGGCGUUGCCGGCGGAGAAGGGAAUAGGGUGAGAGAGGGGGGGAGGGAGGGAGGAGAAAAAGGUAUAGGGAGGAACUGACAUAUGGGUCCGUCUCAGGGCUUCACAGAUGCCUCAUGCCAUGUUAGAUCUAGAAGGAGAAGGAGAGGAAGUAGGAGCGGUUUAUAGGUUUUGGAGUCACCGCCGAGCAGGGGGAGCAUGGCCGCUGGUGAGUAGAACCGCCAUGGCCACCGUCGAGCACCGCGAGCUAGCUCCUUCACGCCGCUCCGCUGAGAUGCACGAGGUGAGGAUUGAGGAGGGGCCGCGAGCUCACCGCUGUCAAGAUCCAGAUCCGACACCUCCACUGAGCUCCAUCCACUAUGAGCUAGCUUCUCACCGUUUGUCUUGUCAUGUGAGGCUGUCGUCAGGAUAGACAAGGGAGAGCGGAGAGGCGGCACCAUUGAGCUCGUGGGUGUGCCGACCAGGAGCAGGAGGAUAGGCAAUGGUCUCGGCAUGGAUUCCUCUACAACCACGGAGGCCACCUAGAGUCAUCGAGGUGCCCAAUGUCUAACAAUGGUGACCUUGUCGUGCGGAAGAGGAGGCAGCGAAGUCGGUGAUGCGGAUCUGGUGCCAUCUCUGAGCUCCACACGCCAGUGCGUCACUAGGGAGAGCAAACCUUGGCGGCGUUAGACCUUGCUAGCCUCAGAGUCCGCCAAACCGCAUGGUGGCGCCGUCCCUUCUACUCGUCAGCUGAUUGACCAGAGUGUAGUCAGCUGAUUCCACCUAUACUAUUAGGGUAUAGAAUCGGAGAGAGAAGGAUUAGCACGGACUUAAUAUCGGACAUGAUUUAGGUGGUGUUUGGAUUCAGAGACUAAACUUAAACUUUAGUCCCUGUCACAUCGGAUGUUUGGACAUUAAUUUAGAGUAUUAAACAUAGACUACUUAUAUAAAACUAAUUACAUAAAUGAGUGCUAAUUCGCGUGACAAUUUUUUUAAGUCUAAUUAAUCCAUAAUUAGCAUAUGUUUACCGUAGCAUCACAUAGGCUAAUCAUAGAUUAAUUAGGCUCAAUAGAUUCGUCUCGCAAAUUAGUCCAGGGUUAUGGAAUAAGUUUUGUUAAUAGUCUACGUUUAAUACUUCUAAUUAGUGUCAAACAUCCAAUAUGUGAGAGACUAAGGUCCUGUUUCUUUCAGUUUGGGAUUAUUAUAAUCUAGAUUAUUGAGUCAGAUUACUAUAAGCUAGAUUGUUAUAAUCUGUAGUACAAUAAGCGGUUAGUUGUUUCUUUCCUAGAUUAUUAGAGCCUAGAUUAUUGGGUUUGCAAGUCUAAAGAGGGAGUGGGGUGGCAUGGUGGGUAAUUUUUCACCCAAUAAUUUAGAAAAAGCUCACAUAAAUGAGCUUAUCAGAUUAUAAUAAGCUGGGCUCCAGAUUAUAAUAAGCUACUUUAAUAAGUUGUCUAUUUCUUUAAACCUUACGACUUUUUUUUUUGUUCUAGUGUUUUAAUCGUAGACUUAUGAAUAAGUUCUAGAGUUACAUUUCUCUCUUUAUCCAAAAUUUAUCUUGGUUGCGGCCUAGACGUUUACAUUUGGUUGCAUCCUUUUGAUUUUAUGAAAACCGUAGUUUUGUUGUUCCGAACGAUUUAUUGGUUUCUCCGUUAACGCUUUAUUCUUCAUCCAUAAGUUUAAAUAUUUUAUGAAAACAUUUCUAGUUUUCUCCCUUGACGCUCUAUUUUCCAACCUACCGUUUAAACAUUAUGCUUUUCAUUGGAUUUAUUUAUUUUCGAAAGUUUUCUUGUAUUAAUGCUUUUGACAUGCUACAUUUUUAAUCCAUAACUUUUUGAUUUUAUGAAAACCGUAGUUUACUUGUUCCGAACGAUUUAUUGGUUUCUCCAUUGACGCUACAUUUUUAAUCCAUAACUUUUUGUGAGCUGCGCCCCUGCAUUUUGUUGCACAUCUAUGCCUUUAUGAAAAUCACGGUUUCAUUGUAUCAAACAUUUCUAGUUUUCUCCCUUGAUGCUUCAUUUUCCAUUCAUUCAUUUAAACCAUAUGCUUUUCGUUGGAUUUCUUUUUUUUCCGAAAAUUCUAUUGUAUUAAUGCUUUCGACAUGCUAUUUGGACUUUAAAACAUUAAUUUUGAACUUAUAAUUGAGUUGUAUAGUUGGGUCUACCUGUUUAUUGAAAACAAAUAACUUUGUUGUGAGCAGGAUCGAUGCAUUUUGUUGCACCUUGAAGCUUUUAUGAAAAUUGCAGUUUCCAUGUGUCAAACGUUCUCCUGUAUUCAUGCUUUUGACAUGCUAUUUGGACUUUAAAACUUUUCUUUGGUUUCUCGUGUGACGGUUCUUUUUUCAUUCUUGAGAUUCAACUUGGUAGUUUCAAUUUUAUUUUUCGGUUACAAUGUAUCUCCUUUUCGAUUUUCUCUUUAGACUUCAAAGCUUCAACUAUGUUCUGAAAUGACAAUCUCCUAAAUUUUGUCUGAACGUAUGCUAACCAGUUUGUGAAAAGAAUAUAUUUGCUUGUGAUUAAACCUUUGCAUCCUUUUGUGCUCUGUAGUUUUUAUCCUAGACUAAUAUCUAGUUUCUAGAGUUACGUUUCCAUGUUUAUAAAAAAAAUAUCUUUAUUGUGGGCUAGACGUCUACAUUUGGUUGCAUCUUAUUGAUUUUAUGAAUAUCGUAGUUUGCUUCUCCUGAACGAUUUUAUGAAUAUCGUAGUUUGUUUGAACUUUUUUUUUCUGGUUUAUAAAAGAAAAAUAUUAUUUUGCAUUGAAGCCCGAGCGUUUUAUUUUCUCUAACGUUCAUUUUGAACUUAUUAAUUGAGUUUUAGAGAUUCGUUUUCUUGUUUAUUGAAAACAAAUAAGUUUGUUGUAAACUGAACCCAUGCAUUUUGUUGCACCUUAAAGCUUUUUUAAAAAUUGCGAUUUCCUUGUAUCGAUCGUUUUUAGGUUUGUCCCUUCACGCUUUAAUGUUCCGUCCUUUUAUUCAAACUAAACGCUUUUAGUUGGAUUUCUUUAUUUUCGAACUUUUCUGUUAAUGCUUUUGAUGUUCUCCUUGGACUUUAAAGCUUUAAUUCAGUUUUGAAAUAUCAGAUUUCCUAAAUUUUGAUUGAACUUAUGCUUACUAGUUUGUGAAAAGAAAAUAUUUGCUUGCAUUUAAAUCUUGGGCUUUUUUGUGCUCUACCAUUUUCAUUUUUAAUUUAUAACUCAGUUCGAGAGUUACAUUUCCAUGUUUAUCGAAAAUAUAUUUUGGUUGCUGGCUAGACGUCUACAUUUGGUUGCAUCCUAUUGAUUUUAUGAAAACCGUAAUUUGUUUGUUCCGAACGAUUUAUUGGUUUCUCCGUUGACGCUUCUUUUUUCAUCCAUAAGUUUAAAUUUUGUACUUUUAGGUGGAUUUCUUGAUUUUGUAUUGUUCUUGCAUCGAUUCUUCAAAUAACCUUUUUGGAGUUUCCAAUAUUUUUUCGUUGUCACGAUUCAUGUUCCUUAAGUUAUUCUUUUGCAUUGAAGCUUAACUGAUUUAUUUUGCUCUUAUAAUUGAGUUGUAGAGUUGGAUCUCCCUGUUUAUCGAAAACAAAUAUCUUUGUUGUGAGCUGGGCCCAUGCGUUUUGUUGCACGUUGAAGCUUUUAUGAAAAUCAAGGUUUCCUUUCUCAUGACGAUUCAUUUUCUGUCCUUUCGUUUAAAUCUUUUGCAUUUAGUUGGAUUUCUUUAUUUUCGAACGUUCUCUUGUAUUAAUGCUUUUGACAUGCUAUUUGGUCUUUAAAACUUCAUUUUGGUUUCUCGAGUGACGGUUGUUUUUUCAUCCUUGAGUUUCAAUUUUGUACUGUUAAUUUGAUUUCUUCAAAUACGAAGUUUCUCUUUUUUUUUUCAUCUUCUCUUUGGACUUUAAAUAUUUAUUUUAGUUCUGAAAUGUCAGUUUCCUAAAUUUUGUUUGAACUUAUGCUUAAUAGUUUUUGACAAGAACAUACUUGUGUGAAUUUAAACCUUGCAGUUUUUUUUGUGCUCUGACGUUUUAAUUUUGGCCUUAUAUUUAAAUUCUAGAGUUAUGCCUCCUUUUUUAUCGAAAAAAUAUUUUGGUUCCGAGCUGGAUGUCUUUAUUCGGUCGCAUCUUAUUGAUUUUAUGAAAAUCGUAGUUUGGUUGUACCAAACAAUAUCUUGGUUUCUCCGUUGAGGCUUCAUUUUUCAUUGAGAAAUUUAUAUUUUGUACUUUUAAUUGGAUUCCUUUAUUUUGAAACAUUCUUCUUCAUCAAUUCUUCAAAUAUCCCUUUUGGAGUUUCCAAUUUUUGUUGUUGUCACGGUUCAUCUUAAGUUUGUUUGAACUUUGUUUUCUAGUUUAUAAAAACAAAUUAUUCUUUUGCUUUAUGCCCUGACCGAUUUGUUUUGCUCUGUCAUUAAUAUUGAUCUUUUAAUUGAGUUGUAGAGUUGAGUCUCCCAGUUUAUUGAAAACAACUAACUUUGUUAUGAGUUGGAUCCUUAUAGUUUGUUGCACGUUCAAUCACAGUUUCCUUGUAUCAAACGUUUCUAGGUUUCUCCCUUGACGCUUUAUUUUACGCAUUUCAUUUAAAAUUUUAUGCUUUUUGUUGGAUAUCUUUAUUUUCGAAUGUUCUCUUGUAUUCAUACUUUUGACAUGUUAUUUGGACUUUAAAACUUUACUUUGGUUUCUAUUUUCGAGUGUUCUCUAGUCUCUAUUUUGAUUUUGAAAACUCUUAUCUUGCUCUAUAGGACCGAGACUUUUUCAAAGCUUGUACUUCUGUGAAAAUGAGAUUGAAAACACUUAUUAAUCAUAACAAAUCAGUUCCAGAGUGUCUUGCAAAGUUUUGAAAUCCAUUUGCAAACUACACCUAUGUACUAGUACGGAUUUGCAAAAUAUCAGGUCAAAAAUAGCCUCUAGUAUAUAGGAUUUGAAAAUGGAUGGAUAAAAUUUAAAUCUUGAAAGAUAUGAUAAGGUUUCCAUCUCCUUACGUUAUCUCUGCACCAAAAAAAUGAAUUUGGUAGAUUUUGAACUCCUCUCUUCCGACAUUUCAAAUUUUACCGACAUGGUCUAGAACGGGUAGUUUGUGAAGGAUAAAAUUGUUGUGCUUAAACCUGUAGAUUGUUGGCUUAGAUUGACCACCCAAAAUUCACAUAGCCUCUAUACCACCCUAACCUAAUGUAAAUAAAAUAUGAGGAAUUUAGGUAACUUAAAACAUGAAUAAAGUUUCUUUCUGUGUCGGUUGAUCGUGUUCUGGAAUUUCGAGUCAGUCUGUUAAUUUUGCCAAGGCUAAACUGUAGGCGAUAGACCUGAGAAUUUUUAUGAGGAACAUGUACGUCACCCCAAUAGGCUUCAUGAAUUUUAUUGUGAUUUUUGGACCUUUGCAUCAUAGGGUAAUAACUCAAUUAGUGUGCAUAACCGUGUUCUGAAAUCUUUAGACAGCGGCAUUCAUGUUUUUAUGUAGUCCAAACCGUAAAAGAUAAUCAUGCUAUCUUUUAACAGUAGCUUGUAGACAUACCCAGUAGACUCCAUGAAUUUUGGCUAAAUUUUUUGAGUCUUUGCAUCAUGUUCUAAAAGUUCAUAAAACACUACAUAGUCCCAACCUGAAAACAGUAGGUAACCUCGUUGUCGAAUUUGUGUAGCCCAAUCUAGAAGGGACAAAAUCUUGGUUCCUUCAGGGUGCUCAUAAGGUAGCUCUGUUUUUCUUUUAAAAAAAUUCUUUUGAACCUUUAGAAAUUGACCUAAAAAUUAGGUAAAGAUAGUAGACCAGUAAAUGCCAGCACUGCAUCACUUGUUUUGACCAAUUUCUCCAAAAUAAUCUAUUUGCCCAAAAAAUCACCAUUCCUUCUCAGAUUGGAGAAAACUUUGUUAGGAUCAUGAAUAUAAAUUUUUUUCUAACUUAUCACCCAUCUACCAUAGUCUUUUGCUUCAGUUUGCGUAUCGGGACUGGAUAGUACAUCAUAUGGCACAUAGACCUAUUUAGCUCUUCCAUUAAAAUUUCUUGAUAAACCCCAUUGCAGAAUUUUAUUUUAUUUUAAGGGGGAUAGAGUGCCAUGACCUUACAAACCCAGAGACAAAACAUGUAACCAUUGCAAGCCCCCACAAGCCUAAAUGGAAAUAUCAUACUAGGAACAAGUCGUAAGCAAACUAUGUAAUUUAAGUUGAGAUGGCUCAGGGUGCAAAUUUUGUGCCCCUUUACGGUCGGAUGCAAUAUUUGUACAUCGCAACAACUCACAAACAUGGUUUGGGAACUUGACUUUUAAGUUUUGAAAACUUCUCUAAGAUGAUCCACUAGAUAAGGAGAAUUGUUCUAUGGCAUGUAUGCAAUACAAAAUAUCUUCAUAAGCAUUGUAUCAUUUUAUACAUGCAUCGCAUCAUUUCAUACAUGCAUCGCAUCAUUUCAUUCAUCAUGAUAUCAUAGCAUACAUCCUUGCCUUUUUGAGAAAAAGAAAAGUUAUUGCUAUACAUGCCAUCUAGCAUCCCGUUUUCUACAACGACCCAAGUUUAUGGAUGCACAUAAUGAGACCAUCCCGAUGCAUCCAAUAUGACUCGACAAAUAUUCCUAGAACACCUUGGAUUAGAUUGCAUAUGACUAAUUAGCACCUGCAGAACAAAUAUUGCCAACUUUAUCCUUAUUUUCCCAACUGCCUUACUUGCUAUCCUAGAACUUAAAUUUAUCGAAUGUGAGAUUAACAAGGUUAGAUCAUGACCGUAGACCAUGAAGACUUGAAUCUUGUUACAUCCUAAUGGUUAGAGAUACUAAAUCUGGUAUUCUUGAAAAGUUUUAUAGACAUUUAAAAUCAAUAAUAUUGUAUUGUUAUUAGAAAACAACAUAUCCAUGACACCUUAGAUCGUAUUCCACCAACCAAACAAGGAUAGGUUGUCAUACCACCCUCACCAAAGACAAAAUAAUCGUAAGAACCACAUAAAUAAUAUCAAUUCCUAAGUAGGCUGACCCAUGUUCGAAAAGGAAAUAAUUUCUUGCAUUUCAACCUUGAGGCUUUUUUCUGCUCUGACAUUUUAAUCGUAGACUUAGAACUAAGUUCAAGAGUUUCGUGUCGCUGUUUAUCGAAAAAAAAAAUCUUAGUUACGGGCUAGACAUCUACAUUUCGUUGCAUCCUUUUAAUAUUAUGAAAACCGUAGUUUGCUUGUUUCGAACGAUUAAUUGGUUUCUCCGUUGACGCUUCAUUUUUAAUCCAUAACUUUUCGUGAGCUGCACCCAUGAAUUUUGUUGCACAUCUUUGCCUUUAUGAAAAUCAUGGAUUCAUUUUAUCAAACAUUUCUAGUUUUCUCCCUUGAUGCGUCAUUUUCCAUCCUUUCGUUUAAACCAUAUGCUCUUCAUUGGAUUUCUUUAUUUUCGAAAGUUCUAUUGUAUUAAUGCUUUUGAUAUGCUAUUUGGACUUUAAAACAUUAAUUUUGAACUUAUAAUUGUGUUGUAGAUUUGAGUCUCCCUGUCUAUUGAAACAAAUAACUUUGUUGUGAGCUGGAACGAUGCACUUUAUUGCACCCUAAAGCUUUUAUGAAAAUCGUAGUUUCCAUGUGUCAAACGUUUCUUCGUUUCUCCCUUGACGUUUUCUUUUGUCCUUCCGUUUAAACUUUAUGCUUUUAACUGAAUUUCUUUUUUUUCCUAAUGUUAUCUUGUAUUCUUGCUUUUGACAAGCUAUUUGGACUUUAAAAGUUUUCUUUUGUUUCUCGUGUGACCGUUCUUUUUUCAGAUUCAACUUGGUAGUUUCAAUUUUAUUUUUCGGUUACAAAGUUUUUCUUUUCCGAUCUUUUCUUUGGACUUUAAAGCUUUAAUUAAGUUCUGAAAUGACAAUUUCCUAAAUUUUGUUUGAACGUACGCUAACUAGUUUGUGAAAUGUAUAUAUUUGCUUGUAUUUAAACCUUACGUUUUUUUGUGCUCUGAUGUUUUUAUCCUAUACUUAUAUCUAGUUUCUAGAGUUACGUUUCCCUGUUUAUCGGAAAGAUAUAUUUGUUUUGGGCUAGACGUUUACAUUUGGUUGCAUCUUAUUAAUUUUAUGACAAUCGUAGUUUGCUUGUCACGAACGAUUUAUUGGUUUCUUCGUUGAUGCUUCAUUUUUCAUCCAUAAGUUCAAAUUUUUCGGUUAUCACCGUUUGUCUUCCUUAACUUGGUUUGAACUUUGAUACCUGGUUUAUGAAAAUUUUACUUUGGUUUCUCGCGUGAUGAUUUUUUCAACUUGGUACUUUUAGUUCGAUUUCUUCAAUUAUAAAGUUUCUCCUUUUGGAACUUCUCUUCGGACUUUAAAGCUCUAUUUUAGUUCUGAAGUCUCCAUUUCCUAAAUUUUGUAUAAACUUUUGCUUACUAGUUUGUGAAAAAAAAAGAGUUGGUCGCAUUUAAACCGUGCGCCUUUUUUGUGCUUUGAUGUUUUAAUAGUAGACUUAUAACUAAUUUCCAGAGUUGCGUUUCCUUGUAUAUCGAAAAAAUAUCUUUGUUGCAUGUGAGACGUCUACAUUUGGUUGCAUCCUAUUGAUUUUAUGAUCACUGUUGUUUGCUUGUUCCGACCGAUUUAUUGGUUUCUUCGUUGACGCUUCUUUUUUCAUCCACAAGUUUAAAUUUUGUAGUUUUAGUUGGAUUCCGUUAUUUUCAAACGUUCUUCUUGCAUUGAUUCUUCAAAUAUCCUUUUUGGAGUUUCCAAAUUUUUCGGUUAUCACCGUUUGUCUUCCUUAACUUGGUUUGAACUUUGAUACCUGGUUUAUGAAAAUUUUACUUUGGUUUCUCGCGUGACGAUUUUUUCAACUUGGUACUUUUAGUUCGAUUUCUUCAAUUAUAAAGUUUCUCUUUUUGGAACUUAUCUUCGGACUUUAAAGCUCUAUUUUAGUUCUGAAGUCUCCAUUUCCUAAAUUUUGUAUAAACUUUUGCUUACUAGUUUGUGAAAAAAAAUAGUUGAUCGCAUUUAAACCGUGCGCCUUUUUUGUGCUUUGACGUUUUAAUAGUAGACUUAUAACUAAUUUCUAGAGUUGUGUUUCCUUGUAUAUCGAAAAAAUAUCUUUGUUGCGUGUGAGACGUCUAUAUUUGGUUGCAUCCUAUUGAUUUUAUGAUCACUGUUGUUUUCUUGUUCCGACAGAUUUAUUGGUUUCUUCGUUGACGCUUCUUUUUUCAUCCACAAGUUUAAAUUUUGUAGUUUUAGUUCGAUUUCUUGAUUUGUUAAUGUUCUUCUUGCAUCGAUUCUUCAAAUAUCCUUUUUGAAGUUUUCAAUUUUUUUUUGUUGUCACGGUUUGUCUUCCUAAAGUUUAUUUAAACUUUAUUUUCUGGUUUAAUAAAACAAAAUAUUCCUUUUGCAUUGAGGACUAACCAUUUUAUUUUGCUCCGACGUUAAUUUUGAACUUAUAAUUGAGUUGUAGAGUUCGGUCUCCCUGUUUAUUGAAACAAAUAACUUUUUGUGAGCUGGACCGAUGCAUGUUUUUGCACAUCUAAUCCUUUAUAAAAGUCAAGAUUUCCUUGUAUCAAACAUUUCUAAUUUUGUCCCUUGACGCUUCAUUUUCCAUCCUAGCAUUUAAACAUUAUGCUUUUCAUUGGAUUUAUUUAUUUUUGAAAGUUCCCUUGUAUUAAUUCUUUUGAUAUGUUAAUUGCACUUUAAAACUUUAUUUUGGUUUCUCGAGUGACGAUUGUUUUUUCACCCUUGAAUUUCAACUUGGUACUCUCCUUUUGGAACUUCUCUUUGGACUUUAAAACUUUAUUUUAGCUCUGAAAUCUCAAUUUCCUAAACAUUGUAUGUACUUAUGCUUACUGAUUCGUGAAAGGAUUGCUUGCAUUUAAACCUUGCGGCUUUUUUGUGCUCUGAUGUUUUAAUCGUAGACUUAUAACUAAGUUCUAGAGUUACGUUUCUCCCUUUAUCCAAAAAAUAUCUUGGUUGUGGUUUAGACGUCUACAUUUGGUUGCAUCCUUUUGAUUUUAUGAAAACCGUAGUUUAGUUGUUCUGAACGAUUUAUUGGUUUCUCCGUUAACGCUUUAUUUUUCAUUCAUAAGUUUAAAUUUUGUACUUUUAGUGGAUUCCUUGAUUUUUUAAAGUUCUUCUUGCAUCGAAUCUUCAAAUAUCCUUUGUAUAGUUUCCAAUUUUUUUCAUUGUCACAGUUCGUCUUCCUUAAGUUUGUUUGAACUUCGUUUUCUGGUUUAUUAAAACAAAAUAUUCUUUUGGAUUGAAGCCUGACCGUUUUAUUUUGCUCUGUCGUUGAUUUGAACUUUUUAAUUGAGUUGUAGAGAUUUGUCUUCUUGUUUAUUGAUAACAAAUAACUUUGUUGUAAACUGGACCCAUGCAUUUUGUUGCACCUUGAAGCUUUUAUAAAAAUUGUGAUUUCCUUGUAUCGAUCGUUUUUAGGUUUGUCCCUUCACGCUUUAAUGUUCCGUCCUUUCUUUCAAACUGAACACUUUUAGUUGGAUUUAUUUAUUUUCGAACUUUCUCUUAUAUUAAUGCUUUUGAUGUUCUCUUUGGACUUAGCUUUAAUUUAAUUUUGAAAUAUUAGAUUUCCUAUAUUUUGAUAGAACUUAUGCUUACUAGUUUGUGAAAAGAAAAUAUAUGCUUGCAUUUAAAUCUUAGGCUUUCUUGCCUUCAUUCCUCAAAUAUCCUUUUUGGACUUUUCUGCCUUGACUCUUCUUUUUCCGAACUUUCGUUUAAACUUUAUGCUUUGAGGUGGAUUUCUUUAUUUUUGAAAGUUCUAUUGUAUUAAUGAUUUUGACAUGCUAUUUGGACUUUAAAACAUUAUUUUUGGUUUCUUGAGUGAUGGUUGUUUUUUCAUCCUUGAAUUUCAACUUGGUACUUUUAGAUUGAUUUCUUCUGUUACAAGAUCUUCUCUCGGGACUUUAAAGCUUUAGUUUUGUUUUAAAAUGUUAAUUUCCUAAUUUUCUUCAAACCUAGCUUACUAGUUUGUGAAAAGAAAUAUUUGCUUGUUUUUAAACCUUUCGUCUUUAUUGUGCAUUGACGUUUUAAUUCUGCUCUGAUAUUUGAGUUGUAGAGUUGGGUCUCCCUAUUUAUCGAAAACAAAUUACUUUGUUGUGAGCUAGGCCCGUGCAUUUUGUUGCACCUUGAAGCUUCUAUGAAAAUCAAGGUUUCCUUGUAUCAAACAUUUCUAGGUUUCUCCCUUGAUUCAUUUUCUUACCUUUCAUUUAGUCCUUAUGCAUUUAGUUUGAUUUCUUUAUUUUCGAAUGUUCUCUUGUACUAAUGCUUUUGACAUGCUAUUUGGUGUUUAAUACUUCAUUUUGGUUUAUCGAGUGAUGGUUGUUUUUUAAUUCUUGAGUUUCAAUUUAGUACUUUUAGUUUGAUUUCUUCCCUUUGGACUUUAAAUAUUUAUUUUAGUUCUGGAAAAUCAAUUUCCAAUAUUUUGUUUGAACUAAUUCUUAAUAGUCUUGACAGGAACAUAUUUGUGUGCAUUUAAACCUUGCGGUUUUCUGUGCUCUGACGUUUUAAUUUUGGCCUUAUAAUUAAAUUCUAGAGUUAUGAUUCCUUUUUUUCGCAAAAAUAUCUUGGUUGCGAGCUUGACGUCAAUAUUCGGUUGCAUCUUAUUGAUUUUAUGUAAAUCGUAGUUUGAUUGUACCAAAUGAUUUCUUGGUUUCUCCGUUGAGGCUUCAUUUUUCAUCGAGAAAUUUAUAUUUCGUACUUUUAGUUGGAUUCCUUGUUUUUGGAACAUUCUUCUUCGUCAAUUCUUCAAAUAUCCUUUUUGGAGUUUCCAAUUAUUUUUGCUGUCACGGUUCAUCUUCCUUAAUUUUGUUUGCACUUUGUCUUCUGGUUUAUAAAAACAAAGCAUUCUUUUGCUUUAAGCCCUAACCGAUUUGUUUUGCUCUAUCAUUAAUAUUAAACUUUUAAUUGAGUUGUGGAGUUGAGCCUCCCAGUUUAUUGAAAACAACUAACUUUGUUGUGAGCUGGACCCUUAUAAUUUGUUGCAUGUUGAAUCUUUUCUGAAAAUCACAGCUUCCUUGUAUCAAACGUUUCUAGGUUUCUCCCCUGACGUUUUAUUUUCCGUCCUUUCGUUGAAUCUUUACUUUUGCUUUUCGGGUAACGUUUUUUUUAACAUUAAGUUUCAACUCGGUACUUUAAGUUUGAUUUCUUCAAUAACAAAGUUUCUCUCUUCUGAACUUCUCUUUAGACUUUAAAGCUUUAUUUUAGUUCUGAAAUGUAAAUUACCAAAAUAGUUUCUUUCAUUUAAACCUUGCGGGCUUUUUGUGCUCUAACGUUUUAAUAGUAGGCUUAUAACUAAUUUAAUUUCUAGAAUUACGUUUUCCUGUUGAUCGAAAAAAAUAUCUUGGUUGUGGGCUAGACGUCUUCAUUUGGUUGCAUCUUACUGAUUUUAUGAAAAUCGUAGUUUGCUUGUCCCUAAUAUUUUAUUGGUUUCUUCGUUGACGCUUCAUUUCUCAUCCAUAUCUUUAAAUUUUGUACUUUCAGUUGGAUUUCUUUGUUUUCAAACGUUCUUCUUGCAUCGAUCCUUCAAAUAUCCUUUUUGGAGUUUCCAAUUUUUUCGGUUAUCACCAUUCGUCUUCCUUAAGUUUGUUUGAACAUUGAUUUCUAGUUUAUGAAAACAAAAUAUUCUUUUGCACUGAAGGUGACCGUUUUCUUUUGUUCUGACAUUAAUUUUUGAGCUUAUAAUUGGUUGUACAGUUGGGUCUCCCUUCUAAUUGAAAACAAUUAAAUUUAUUUUGAGCUGGAUGCACACAUUUUGUUACACCUUGAAGGUUUUAUGAAAAUCACGGUUUUCCUUGUAUCAAACGUUUCUAGGAUUCUCCCUUGACGCUUCAUUUUUCGUCCUCUCGUUUAAACUUUAUGUUUUUAGUUGGAUUUCUUUAGCUUCGAACGUUCUCCUCUAAUAAUGCUUUUGAUAUGCUAUUUGGACUUUAAAACUUUAGUUUGGUUUCUCGUGUGACAGUUGUUUUUUCAUCCUUGAGUUUCAACUUGGUAUUUUCUGUUUGAUUUCUACAAGAGUAAAUUAUGCUCACAGUACAUGAACUUGUGUGUUGGGUGCAAAUAGGUACAACAAGUUGCAAAUUGCUCAUUUCAGUCUUAUAACUUGCCUAGAUUGUGCGAGUUGGGCCAAAAUGAUUCAAACAAGCAAAAUUGUUCGAACUUAGCACGUACCGAUGAGGUAGCAGUUUAAUUUACACGCUUGAUUAUGUGUUGGAGAUCUUAUUUGCAAUCCAAAUAAAAAGAGAAAUUAGUGAUGCAAAAGUUUAUUUCAUUUCAUUUCUCUGGAAUUUUCGUUCCUUUAUAACUAAGACAAUUUCUGGCGUGCCAUAGUGCAAAUAACACCAGGAAAUUCAUUUUAAUUCCUAUGUUCAGAAGCUCCAUUUUAUUGAAAGUUUAUUUUCAUUACCGAGCAUGUUUAAUUGUUUUGGUUCUUUUAUCAAUCUAAAUCUUAAAAAUAUCAUGCGGAUAAUAACAACACAUUUAGGAAUUAUAAAUUUUUAUGUGUAAUAAUAAUUACAUAUCAUUAUACAUCAGGCUAGAUCAAUUUUGCUUGUGUGGAUCGUUUUGGCCUAGGUUCACACGGACUAGCCAAAUUAUUGUACCGAAAUGAGCAAUUUGCAAGUUGUUGUAUCUAUUUGCACCCACCACACAAGUUUAUGUACCGUGAGCGUAAUUUACUCUUUCUUCAACAACAAACUUUCUCUUUUUAGAAAUUCUCUUUGCACUUUAAAGCUUUAUUUUAGUUCUGAAAUCUAUAUUUCCUAAAUUUUGUGUGAACUUAUGCUUACUAGUUUGUGAAAAGAAAAUAGUUGCUUUCAUUUAAAACUUGCAGCUCUUCUGCCCGCUGACGUUUUAAUAGUAGAUUUGGAACUAAGUUCUAGAGUUUUGUUUCUUUGUUUAUUGAAAAAAAUAUCUUGGUUACGGACUAGACAUCUACAUUUGGUUGCAUCCUAUUGAUUUUGUGAAACCAUAGUUUCGUUGUUCCGAAGGAUUUAUUGGUUUAUCCAUUGACACUUCAUUUUUCAUCCAAAAGUAUAAAUUUUGUACUUUUUUUUGGAUUUCUUGAUUUUGCAAUGUUCUUCUUGCAUCGAUCCUUCAAAUAUACUUUUUGGAGUUUUCUCCCUUGACCCUUCUUUUUUUGUCCUGUCGUUUAAACUUUAUGCUUUUGAGCUUUACAAAGUUUCCUUUUUUUUUUCUCUUUGGACUUUAAACCUUUAGUUUAGUUUUGAAAUGUUAAUUUCCUAAAUUUUGUUUGAACCUAUGCUUACUAGUUUGUGAAAAGAAAUAUUUGCUUGCAUUUAAACCUUGCGUCUUUAUUGUGCUCUGACGUUUUAAUUUUGGACAUAUAAUUUAGUUCUAGGGUUAUGUCUCCCUGUUUAUCGAAAAAAGUAUCUUGGUUGUGGGCUAGACAACUAUAUUUUUGAUCGCAUCUUAUUGAUUUUAUGAAAAUUGUAGUUUGGUUGUACCAAACGAUAUCUUGGUUUCACCGUUGAGGCUUUAUUUUUCAUCCAGGAGUUUAUAUUAUAUACUUUUUGUUGGAUUCCUUGAUUUUGAAAUGUUCUUCCUUGCAUUGAUUCUUCCAACACUCCUUUUUUGGAGUUUCCAAUUUUUUUUGGUCGUAAUAGUUCGUCUUCCUUAAAUUUGUUUGAACUUUGAUUUCUGGUUUAUAAAAACAAAAUAUUCUUUUGCAUUGAAGCUUGACCGUUUUAUUUUGCUCUAAAGUUAAUAUUGAACUUAUUAGUUGAGUUGUAGAGGUUGGUCUCCCUAUUUAUUGAAAACAAAUAACUUUGUGUUGAUGUGAAACACGACGGCCUGGGAGAUCUGCUUAACUCCAGUGCAGGUCUAAGGCUAGCCUCGAGUGUGUUAAAAGCGUGCCAGCUGAUUUGAUCCUACAAUUAGCAAGAAAGUCAAAAGCAGAGUUAGUCAGCCAAUAGCGUAUCGGUAGUAGUCUCAGCCGAUGUGGUUAGACCAAAUCGGCUAUUGACUGGAUAGAUCAAGGAAUAAAAGACCCUAAACAAUGCCUCAUCGGUUACAAUAAUGUCUAUUUGGUUUGAUAAAGAAGUUCAAGACAAUACUAUGACAAUAACCGAUGGAGCAGUAUUUAGAGCAGAAUGUAUAGAUAAUGAUAAAGUACUAGCUAAUACUCUAGUACAAACUUAUAUAAACAAAUCAUGAUCAAUUAGUGUUUCAGAUAGCCCAGUCAAUACUGAUCUAACUUGAUAUGGUUAUAUAGAAUGAUUUGUCUAUAUAAGUGGCAAAUAUAGAUAAAACCAGUUAAGAAGCAUGUAUAUUAGGUAAGAUCAGCUGAAACUUUGAUGUUAUCUCCAUGUUAGUUCUUAGGGUUCUAAAUAAUCAGAGAAACCUAAGGUCUAAAUAAUCAAGGAAUUAAUCACUUUUCAAGAUGGUAGAUGGCUUAGCUAAGCUAAUCUAGUAAGGCAAUUUAGCCGAUACCAGCAGGAACCCUAAAGCGAGAACCAACCGAUAGUGCUAAAUUGAGAUAUUAAGGCUAGAUUAACUAAGACAUAUGAUAACAUAUGGUCAUCAUAAAAGGACUAAAACAACUAAAACGACAUAAUAACCCCCAAUAGCACAAGCCAUCGAGACGGGUUACCUCUUGUCGAGAGAACUCACCGAAAAGAAGAACAAAAAUGGUGGCAAUGUGCAGAAGUUGUAUUGAAUUGUCUCUCAGAUUAUAAUGCUAUGUGGUUCAUAUUUAUACCCCAAGUACAGACUUCGUCUAUUAUGGACACGACUCAAACCUUUCUAAAAAUAAAAUACAAACAAGACCAUAUACGGUGGUCUAUGUCCAAAUCCAACAAAAUUUAGGCCCAAACCGAGCCCAAGUUAUAUCGUAUCGGCUACUUGCCAUAUCGGCUAAGUUAAGCCUAUAUCCUGUUUUCAGCCGAUACGACGCUGGCCAAUGCGCAGUCCGACUUCAAUUUUAACUUGGUUCAACACCAAAUCCGCUUCGAUCUUUCUUCUUCUUCUCCGAAUCUGAUGCAAAAUUCCGCUAUUAACACUUUGUUAUGAACUGGUUCCAUGCAUUUUGGUGCACCUUAAAACUUUUACGAAAAUUGCAAUAUCUUUAUACCGAACGUUUUUAGGUUUGUCUCUUGACACUUCGUGUUCCGUCCUUUCGUUCAAACUUUACACUUUUUGUUGGAUUUCUUUGUUUCUAACAUUCUCUUGUACUACUGCUUUUGAUCUUCUCUUAGGACUCUAAAGCUUUAUUUUACUUAUGAAAUGCCAAUUUCCGUAAUUUUGUUUGAACUUAUGCUUACUAGUUUGUGAAAAGAAAAUAUAUUUGUGUACAUUUCAACCUUGCGGCUUUUUUGUGCUCAAUAUAUUCAUUUUCGACUUAUAACUAAGUUGUAGAGAUUUGUCUCCUUGUUUAUCGAAAAAAAUAUGUUGGUUGCGGGCUAGACGUCUCCAUUUGGUUGCAUCUUAUUGAUUUUACGGAAAUCGAAGAUUGCUUGUCACGAACAUUUUCUUGGUUUCUCCGUUGACGUUUCACUUUUAUUCCAUAAGUUUAAAUUUUGUACAUUAAGUUGGAUUCCUUGAUUUUUGAAAUGUUCUUUGUAAUACCCCGAGUUUCGAAUUAGUGUAUUUCGGGAUAUAUUAAAACAAACGCGCAAAAGUUCAACUUUUAAACCGUUGUUUGAAUAGGCGAUCAGGGACCGUGGAUGCAUAGAGCUCGCUGAAUAGUGCAAAAUAGACUAAGUUUGUGGUAAUCGGAGUCCCAAGGUAUUUCCGGUGAUCGAAUUAAUGUGGGCUGUUCGAUUUUCUUUAACCUCUCUCUAUAUAACCAACAGAAAAAAAAAAAAGGGUCCUGCGCCCCAGCCGCCACCACUCCUGCGCCCCAGCCGCCUCUGCGCCACCGCUGCCGGUGCAGCCGUCGCCGGUUGCCGCAGCCCUCGUCGUCCUUCGCUGCCAAUUUGAUCUGUUCUUGGUGAGCUGCUGCUACUUUCCCUGCUGCUGCGUUUCCUGCUGCUGCUCCUGCUAAUGCGUGGCCUGCUGAUUCUUUGGCUGCUGUGCGUUGGGCUCCAACUUUUGUUGCAGCUGCUGCUGCUGGUGGGUGGUUUGCUGCUGUUGCUUCUACAACGACCAGGGAAGCAGAGAAAAACAGGAAGGAGGAGAGAAGGGGAAAUUAGAUAGAAGAGGGAAAUUUGGGGAAUUAGGUGGAUAUCUCCAAAUUCAUUGUUUUUCUCUCAAAUUAGUACUGCUAGGUAAUCCGUUUUAGUCCCUAGUUGUUUCUAAUUUAUAUAUAUAAGACGAUCUGUUACCGGUAGUUCGAAUUUCGAACGCUAGGCUGAAACCGUAUUUUCAAAUCUGGUGUUAAACCAUCGGUAUUCAGGUCAGUUGUCCUAAAUAAAGUUUGUAGUCAUCGUUGAUAUUUUUUUAACGCCGCUAGUUUUGCUCGAAUCCGAUAAACGGUUUAGGAGAAACAGCAAAAACAGUACUGCUGCCGGUCUGAAAAUAGGGACAGAAAUUUGUUUUUCUUAUCUGAGACCUACAUUGGCUUAAUCUGAUUUUUUUGCCAACAUGAAAGUUGUAGACAAUUUUUUCUAGAUAUCUGAAGUUGUAUUAUUUGCUAGUUUCCGUUAAACGGUUUGCGAGUUACGUAUAAAAUAGUAAUGGAACUGCUAUAGGUUGUUUAAUACAAAUCGGUAAAAGUUUAUAUGUUCUAGGUUACGAUUUUAGUAAAUAUCCUUUGUGGAGAGUGUUACGUCAGGUUACCAUCAAGGUUAAAGUCAAAUGCUAGGAUGUAUUCACAAUUGUCCGGGAUAGAAAUUACUAUUUCAAUUCAUGUCUGCCCGGAAUGGGAACUACUAUUUUCUUUGACUUGGUGUUUGAAAUUGUGUUUCUUAUCAAAGAAAGGAAGCUUUCUAUUCGUGCUCUAUUGCCCAUGAUGUGUAUAUGUGCUUUCUAGUUACAUACUGUACUUGCUGAGUAUUUCUGUACUCACUCUUAUGUUUAUUUGUUUUUUAGGUAUACAUUGAGAUUGGCAUGCAUGGGCAGAAAGUAGCACCCUUAUAUACAUAUCUAUUUGCACACUAUCAAACUAUACUGCUUAGGUCCAUAAUGACAUUUAAACUAUAUCUUGGUUUUGUCUUGUAAUAAUCUAUUAAAUAUCUAUUGGUUUCUUUCCAUGGAUUAUAUGGAUGGGUAGCACUAUGGGAACGAUGUCAUUAUUAGUUUAAUCUAUAACUGCCUGACGUGGAUGUCUAUAUUUAUAGGAGAGACUCUACCAAAAUUUCUAAUUAUUUUGGGAGUUAGUAGUUUUGAGAGUAUUUUGAUGUGGCACUCUAGGUACGUGGUUACCUGGGGCGUUACAUUCUUCUUGUAUCAAUUCUUCAAAUAUCUUUUUUUUGUCACGGUUUGUUUUUCUUAAGUUUGUUUGAACUUUGUUUUCUCAUUUAUAAAAACAAAAUAUUCUUUUGCAUUAAGGCCUAACUGAUUUAUUUUGCACCGACAUUAAUUUUCAGCUUAGAGUUGAGUUGUAGAGUUGGGUCCCCCUGUUUACAGAAAACAAAUAACUUUGUUUUGAGCUGCACUGUUGAUAUUACGAUCACAGAUAAAAUCAUAUUCAAGUUAUUGAUUUCCACGCGGAACAUGUAACUCUUCUCCAGGUUAAUCCAAGGACAUAAUAUAAAAAUGUAGACAAAGGGUAGAGAUAAUUUCUAGUGAGUAUAGGGUCUAUAGAAAGCUUAAGUUUAAUCAUAUUGCAAUACUGUUAAUCCAAGAACAUAAUAUAAAAAUGUAGGCAAAAGGUAGAGAUAAUUUCUAGUGAGGUAUAGGGUCUAUAGAAAGCUUAUGUUUAAUCAUAUUGCAAUACUUCAGGCACUGGCUUGCUCGCUGCUACCAGAUCGUGCUCUACUCCGUAUUCGGAUAAGGAGAACUUAAGUGAUCUCGAGGGCGGUCACCGCCUCUACAUCUACCUCUAACGAACUGUGGGAUGCGCUGCAAAUACAUGUAUUAAAUAAUAUAUAGAAACCAAGUCUACACUAUUUAGAUACUACUCUAAUAUUCCUAAUGUCGAUCAAACACUAAAGUAAACAUUAUUUCUAGUGCACAAUAUUCCAGUAUGCUAAUAGGAACUAAGAGACCUCUGGCCAGCUCCCCUGACGGUGGCUUUUUUCUUGGGCCUUGGCAAAAGACUCCUUGGGCCAUUGGUGUAUUGAUUGGGCCUAAUUUGUGGUAUUUCGAUGAGUUUGUGGGCCCAAACUCAAUGGGUGAAAUUCUCCUCCAGUUUUAUGUGUAUUUCGUCUCAACUUUGGUAGUUUGUCACCGGUAUACAAAUAUAUACCAACACUCGUGGAAAUUGUUUGAAUUAAACCCUACCACCAUAUUGGAUGUUUCAUACUUUUCCGAUUUACGUAAGUAUUGGCGGCAUAAAAUUGGCAUUUAACAGUCGCCAACAUGCACCCAGGUGUUUUGUUGCACCUUGAAGAUUGUUUUUUUUUUAUCAAUCCGGAGGGAGUAGCAGACAUGAUAUCUGAAAGGAUUGUUUGUCUAUUUAUUAUAAAUUUUGUUUUUGGUACUCAUACAUAUUAUAAGACUAGCAAUAAUGUCCGUGCGUUGCAACGGGUUCUAAAUAAUAUUCAUUGACAUAAAUUAAAAUCCUAAACUAUAUAUUAUAGUUGGACAUAAAUGAUGAAGGAAAUAAAAACGUAUAAAUAACAAUAUGAAACUACAAAUAACUUUGUCCGGAACGAUAAUUCAAUAUUAGAAAAGUUAUAAGUUAGCUAAAUAUAAGUUACAAUAAUUUUUAGUGGAUCAAAUAGUGCUAAAACUAAUAAUGUAAAUGAAAAAACAACUGAAAUUAGUUAAGAAUUGAAAAAACUUUUUUAGCCCACAUAUGAAAAUCUGAUUCAUUAAUCCUAAAUGGAUGUCUGUUUCAUUGAUAUAAAUUAGAAUUUUUCAUGUUAUAGUAAUGUUAUAAAUGCCAUUAUAUUUAUCGAUUUUGAUUGCACAUGUUUUCUCUGUUCACACCUAGUCGAUGAGAAUCACGGAUGCAUGCACGAAUGGAAAAUCGCCUCAAACAUUUAUGGAUUAUCGAUAAAUGCUUUUUCGAUAGAUGUACAAAUUAGUGUGCAGAUUAUGCAUAUCGUUUGUUAUGUUGUUAUAUGUAUUGGCUAUUUAGAUGGUAGAUUUGUUCUCUUCUUGCUGAGACAUACAAAACUCCUCGUGCAUUAAAAUGGUUAAAAAGAAAAAGUCCAUUGUGUUUUUUUUUACAGAGUAGUAGGUCGAUUUUUUUAAAACCGACACCUAUAUUUAUAUUAGAAGUGCCAAUUUUAUUAAAAAAAUAACACCUAUUAAAAAAACCGGUUAUAGAGCCAACUGAGCCUCUUUCCCUUAUCCUUUCUUGGCUAUAGAGCCGACUGAGCCACCGAGACAGACCACGCCGGCGGAUUUAUAACGUGCCCACUCCAUAAUGGAGUACACCUAAUUUUGGUACCGCUUUACCACAGCCGCGGUAAGGGAGGUCAGGAGGUUUCACUGGCUGCGCCUGGGGGAGGGGUCGCCGACCGUGGCCGUGCGUGCGGGGGAUGUGUCGGUGAGCUCGGCACGAGCGGGGCAGGAGCUCGACGGCGGCAGCGGGUGGCAGGGCGAGAAGGAGAAGGAGGAGGGGAAGGGGAAGGCCCCCGCUUCGGCUGUCGAGCUCACGCUAAGUGUCCGCUGAGGAGCAGGGCGAAGGCGUUGAGUGUCCGUGCCGAUAGUCGGUGUUUGCGGUGGUGGGGAUGGGGAUGCCGGCGUCAUGGUCAGAGACAUGGAGGACCUCCGCCGUGUCCAUGUCGACCAGCACGGUGAGGCCCUCGAUGGGGUGCAUGUAGAAGUUGGCGGUGCCCUCGGUUGAGAAGCACUGGCUCUUGAUGAGUCACCAGUUUUCCUCCACUGGGCCCUACUAGCCGAAGGAGAUGGGCAGGCAAGCGACGUCGGAGGCCCUGACGCCGCGGCGGAUGCUGGCGUUGAACGCCACGUCUUUGAAUAGCGCGAAGCUGAGGCUGGUCUGCUCGUCCAUGCUCAUCAUCGGGUAACCGGAGGCAGGGACAUGCAGAGGAGUCACCACACCGUUGCCCUCGCCGAGGACUCGGGACUUGCCACGGAACCGGAUGACGACCACGGUGCAGCGAGGCGGGAGUGGGUUGGCGCCCUUCCGCCAGCUCUUGACGACGGACUUUUCCGGCUCAUCGAGCUUCAGCGAGUGCAUGAAUAGGUUCGCCCCGCUCCUCAGCGCGAGCCAGUGCUUCCUCACCCGCCCUACUGCUGCCGUUGAGCUCGCGCUCACCCCGCUCACGCCGACCUCGCCCCACCACGCGCAUUCCUGACGAAGGAGAAAACGAUGGAACUCGGAAAUAAUAAAAUAAUUCGACCAGUGUUCUAUAGCCAAUUACACAAAUUUUGUAGUGGCCAUCAACCAUGUCACGUUUUUUGGUGUCUCCCAGCUAAUUACAUAUUUUUUGCGUGUUCUGUAGCAAAUUUUGCCAAGAAAAUAUGGCAUGUUAUAACUAUGGCGAUAAACCAAACACUAGUCUAACUUGAUCAAGAUACCGCCAUCGUUGUAGUGACAUUGCUCGUGGACAAGAGCCUUCUAAGCUGCUGCUCCUCCUCUUGGUUGAGGAGGAAACGCUACGCAUCCUCGUUGUUGUUAGAGACACGACUAGCGACUAGCACGAUGAGUUGACCGGCGUUGUGCUAUUAGAGACACGACUAGCGACUAGCAUGAUGAGUCGACCGGCAUCGUGCUAUCAAAGACGAAGAAGUGGAGGUGGCAAUUGAGGGAUGGGGAUGGAGAGAAAUCGUGAGGGAGUGAUACGGUUCUAACUUUAAAAUAUUGCAGUAGCAUGCAACCGAUUCAUGAAUAGUAAUGUUAUUUUUCUAGUGCGAUAUAUUUGCAAUGACAUAGAUCUAAUUAACCCUUUGUUUUUAUAGCGUCUGUUGGCCACAGGUGUGAUGUGUUAUGGUAAAAGUUUUUAAGUACUUUGCGUAAGAAAAGGUGUGAUGCAUGUUACAAAUGUGACAACAAAUCAAACACUAGUUUUACUUGAUGAAAAUGCCUAGCCAUAAGUUUAGCAAAUUGUAGCAUCUAAACAAAACACCCGGUAUCGUAGGGCACGGGCACCACACUCUCCUGUGCAAAGCUAGUAUCCUUCAGUUUUGACUUUUGAACAAGAGAGCAGAGGACAAAUCACUCCACCAUCCAACCGUCCGUUACAAGAAAAAAAAAACAGGCACGAGCACGGGCAAGCGUUGAGUGUCAUUGGCUCGCGCACCGUGCAACGCGACACGCGGGGAAGACAGACACACAGCGUACGGGUAGGGGGUUUGGUGAGUGGCACGCCGGUGAGCGUACGAGAGGGGAGAAGGGGCGAGAGGGCUGGGCGAUCCGUGCGCAGCGGGUGCAGGUGCUGAGCUGCAUUCCACCGAGAGGCGAGAGGGAGAGGGAAGGCGCCAGGGGGACUGGGGAGCAUGUUGCAUGUGCGAGCGUGCGAUGCACUGCACUGCUGAACUGCUCUGGGAGAGCGGCUCUGGAGCCUGGGCCAUGUCGUACAAGGCUACAUACUCCCGUCCGUUCUUAAAAAAAAAAUCAAUUCGUGGGUUUCAGUGUCUAACAUUUUGAAAAAAUUAUAAAAAAAUUUAAAAAGGUAAGUUAUGCAUAAAGUAUUAUUCAUGUGAUUUAUGUGCUAAUUAGGAUACUGCGUAAACAUAUAUCAAAGAAAUGUUGCUAUUUAAAUAUACAUAUGUUCAAUAAAAAGAUAGAAUGUGAUAUAGUGAUUUAGUUAAAAAAACAUAUAUAAACCCAAGCAAUGAUAAGUGGUUAGAUAUAUAUGAAGGAUAAAGUAGAGGAUAAAUUUAUAAAUAUAGAUUGUCUUAUGCAUACUCAUUCCACGUAUACAUAUCACAUUCCAAUCAACAUCAGCUUGGUAAAAUCAACCUUGCAAAGCCAUUUUGGUUCUAGCUCGCACGAACUAGACAAAUUUGUUCACUGAAAUAAGUAUUUUAUAAGUUUAUGUACUAAAUUAUAUCUACCUAACAAGUAUUUUAGGAUGGACAAAGUAGCUAUUAAAAUGGGAACGCACGUUAGUUCGUGCUACAUUGACUGGAGUGCUCUGUUUUGGUACUAGAGCUGUAACAACAUUUUUUGUUUGUUAUCUUCUCCUUCCUUAUUAUAAGUUUAUCAUCUUGAGCUUCCAGUCCCUUGCAUUAAGAGUUGCAGGUCAAAGGAGCACCACCCAAGGAAAAGAAAUGGAAAAACAAUAGCGUCCACCAUUGCGACGAACUGAAUUUUCUUGCAGAGACCUCUAACUUGAUUAAAAGAGAUCCAUAUAACAGAAUUUCAAAUACAGUACUGUUUAAGGCUCCAUUAGUAAAAAUUCUAACUUUUCGACAAUACUGUCUAUCUUACCCUGUUCAGCGUUCACUACUCCAGUAGCUAACAUGCCAACAAAGCACAGAAUGAAGCUGAACGUGUCGUGAAAUUUCACUUUUGCACAGAUUUAUGUAUAAAAGUAAAUUUAUUUUAGGAUUGAGGGUGUAAUGAUCAAGUAUGUCCCUUGCAAGCGAGCAAGUACUGGCAACAUAGGUGUUCCUGGAUACUUUUAUAGCUUGAAAUUUAAGCAAGUCUGCACAGAUCUAUGGCCUAUGGGGACUGGAGUCAGCACUGUGAGAUCUCAAUACGCUGAUAGAAAUUUCACAUGGAUUCGGUCUCCAAGACUGAAAACAUCUAGGUGGGUACUAUAAAAUAGCCGUUUUGAUUGAUUCCUAAGUGAUCCAAAGCUUGAAUUCAUCUUAUAUUCUAUCUACCACACCAUCGAACAUGGUGUAGCUCACGGUAGUCCCAAUAAGUGUAGGAGUAUCAGUCAACUUUACAAUGGUGCAAAUUUUCAUACCUGGGCACCUCUUGCCCCCGUUUCCCUUCUACAAAUAGGUGAUGAUGCAAACUGGUUUACCAUGAUGCAGUAUAAGCUCUACUAUGCUCAUGGCUAAGGGAAAAAAUUCUCCACCAAAUCUCCAUGGCCCAAAUUACAUUCGAAAUGCAAGCGAUGUAUUUCCCUGCGGAAGAAAAACACUAGGAAUGAUGCUGCUCUCAGUGCUACUUGUGCUUGUUCUCUCAGCAUAUUCUCCUGAGCAGAUUUUCCUUUACCCUCCAAUGCCAGCACACAACUCUCAUCAGACGGCCAUCAACAGUAUGCUCUCUCAGUCUUCAUAUUUUUUUUCGGGGGGGGAGGGGGGGGUUAAAAAACUGCCAUUAUAGUUACAUUUUGUGUGCCAUUUUUCUACCAUCAGUUGAUUCUUUGGAAAGCUAUUGUUCAUCAACAUAUGGAGUAUUUAUGUGUCAGAUUAAAUUUUUUUUCCUACACUUUCCACCUGUACAUUUGGAACAUGAACGAAAGGGCAGCAUAAUAAGAUACUAGUUCACUCUACAACAUCAACUUAAAUUUCAGUUCUAUGGGAAGUUAAAUAGUACUAGUGUUGUGAAUCUUGUGGUUUAAAAUGCUUACCAAGCCUAGCUGUCUAUGUAGUUUCGAAUUCUUUCUUACCUUUCAGAUAAUCUACAUAUUAUAUUUCAGAAGUGUAUCAGAUUAAUAAUUGGGAAAAGAUGCAAGCACCAAAAUAAAUGAACAAAAGGAAACAUAACUUCUAACUCUGCAAAAUCCACCCCCAAAGAGUUAUGGCAUAUUUCCGAUGUCGACAAAUAAGAUAUGUAUUGAUAGCAUAUCAGUUCUUUUUUCUUUUUUUUUUUGCGGGGAGCAUAUCAGUUCUAAUAUAAUCAAAAGCAGCAAGCUUGCCUAUCCAAGAAAUUCAAGUGUGAUUUUGUCUUUGUUUAGGUCCUCAUGACAAUGCAAAAGCCUGCAAUCUGUUCAAUGGAACAUGGGUUAGGGAUUUUGGAGGCCCGAUUUACACUAACACAACAUGCCCAACGAUACCAGAGGCAAGGAACUGUGCAAAGUACGGAAAGCAAAUGGAUUAUGUAAACUGGAUGUGGAAACCGCAUGGUUGUGCCAUGGAAAAAUUCGAACCCCAUCUAUUCUUGACUAUUGUCAGAGGGAAGACAUUGGCUUUUGCUGGGGAUUCGAUUGCACGGAACCAGAUGGAAUCAUUGCUCUGUUUACUGUCUCAGGUAAACACCUUGUGUUUUAGUUCUUCUAAAUGUGUAACCAAAGGAAGACUUGCUUUUAACUUGCGUAAACCUAUAUCACCAGUGACACAAUUACAGUAACUUGCUUUUAGGUUCAUUUUGGUUCUUUACCCUACCAAAUUGUUGGUAGUGUAAAAAUUUAGGCAAGUUUUGCCACUACCAACAAAUUGGUAGAGUAUCACAUUGGUUUGGCAAAAAAAUAGCUUCAAUCCGAACUCUAGCCAAGUACUAUUGGGUUGCCAAUUAAUUGGUAGGGCACAUUUUGGUAGCAAUCCAAAAUGGCCUAUAAUUCUUUUGAGUUUUUAGCACAACUAUAGACAGGUAUUACUCCAUAUUUGACAAGUUAAGAUAGAAAUGGACUGGAAGAAGAAAAUUUGAGCUCUUCCCCUUUCCACUGAAUAAUAAAAAAUAUAUAUACUGGUGUAAUAUAAAGAAUACCUUAAACAGGCAUCACACCUGCAGGAGGCCCUAUAGAUCUUUGCAUAGAUUCAUGUAUUUUCUAGAAAGAAAUUUUUUAGGUUACAAUUAUGAAAUAAUUUUCUCCAAAGAAAUUUGUAGGUCACAAUUAUGAAAUAUGGACCAAGCAGCUCCAGGCCUGGAUUUUAUUUACAUUGCUAACCCGGAAUCAAUAAUGUUUAUAAGUUAUAACAGAGUGCUUUCAUAUUUUAUGCCAAAAAUGGGGCAUAAAAUUUACACUAAGUUCUUCCAUCUGCUGAUUUAUCACAGCAAUUCUACUUCAUGUACCUUUGUUUCUAGAAAUUUUAUCAGAUAGCUGUGAUUAAAGACCUUGACACAACUCUACAAGCUUUUCCAGGUAGAAGCACCAAUCAGAGUUAGUAGUGACACCAAAGAUAAAUUUGUCACCUGGAACUUCAGGUCUCAUAACUUUACUCAUGGUUCUUUGGACCAAAUUCAUAGUAGAAGAUUCUCAAAGACAAAUCAAUGGUACAGUAGUUGAAGAGCAUGACAUACACUUGGAUAAACUUGAUCCAAGAUUAGCUACAAACUUACACCAGAUCAAUAUUUUAGUCAUAUCCACCUCGCGUUGGUUCUUCAGAAGAAACUAUCUUUACGAAGGUGAGGAGCUCAUUGGAUGCAUAUACUGCUCAGAGGAUAACAUCACAAGCUUCAGUGUCCCUAUGGCUAUUCAGAGGGUAUUUCGAACAGCGCUAAAAAAUUUGAAAGAGAGCCAGGAGUGCAGAUUGCAAUUGACAGUGGUAAGAACAGCAACAUCAGCACAUUUUGAAAAUGGUUUGUGGAAUACUGGAGGAUCUUGCAAUAGAACUGAACCACUGAGAGAGGAAGCAAUGAUUGAUCAAACUGAAUGGGCAAUAAGAAAUGCACAGGUUGAAGAGGCUGAUAGAACAAAAAAGAACAACGGCAAGGGAGGGGUGAAAAUAGAGAUUAUAGAUAUAACCAAAGCUAUGUCAAUGAGGCCUGAUGCACACCCAGGUAUCCAUUGGAAUAACCAGUGGAUGAGGGGUUACAGUGAUUGUUCGCAUUGGUGUCUGCCAGGACCAAUUGAUAUGUGGAAUGAGCUACUGCUUGCUGUGCUUAACAAAUAUAAGAACAGCUUGGAAGAUCAAUGACACAAGGCCCUUUGCCAAUCCAUCACAUCCACAAUAAGAGUUACUUUUUACCAUGACAACACCAGGCACCUAUUUUUCUCAUUUGCAGGAACUUUUGUUAGAUUCAGACAAUAGGACAUACGAAAUAUGAUCACUGUGAUGACCUAGACAUAAAACUAUUAGAGUUCUCUAUGUCGAAGGCAAAAGCAAAGGACCCAUCUGGGGUCAGUUUUUGAACAAGCAGAGUUUUGCAGUUUGAAAUCACUUCUGAUUAGCGAGAGCCUAUGGGCUACAACAUUUUAGUGGUUUCCAUAACCAUUUUGUGCUGGGCUGAUGGCCACUUGAUCAGCAUUAGCUAGUUUUAUCAUAAAGAUAUUCAACAGAAAAAAUAUACACAUGAAAAUAUUAGUGGUGAAAUAGAAACAUAGAGCUAUACAGAAAAUUCAAUCUUAUGAAUACCUGAUGGUUCUCUACCAUGCUCAGCUUGUCAAUUUGUUAUCAUCAAAAUCUUUGGCUGUACUCCUGCUGCUAACAGAAGUUUGCAGUAAUUCCUUGCUCAUCAAGUGCUUGCGUUUUUGGAGGCUCAGCCAAACCAAAAUACUGUCAGUCUGGACAAUGUUAUAUCCUGCUUUCCUGUACAUAUUGAAUGGAACUUGGUCGAUUAUCCUACAGUGCAGAUAUACGUGCCUUUUGGCAUCCAUCUUGAUAAUCAGAUCCUCGCAUGCCUUAAGAAGUUGUUUUCCAAUUCCUCUCCUAAUGGGAAGAAACAAGGCACAAUAAAAACUUUAUAAAGCACAUAAUCAAAACAUUAUAUAGAUUAACAAAUUAAUCCUGAUGGCAUAAAACCAUAGGUUUCACAACUUACUCAUCUAUCUCUGAUCGAAAAGAGAAUGAGUUCAACCAUUAGAUGUCACGUGCAAGAGCCAUGGGCCCUAGAACUAGGCCACAUGGGUAACUCUCAUGCAUUUUUCCUUUUUCAGGAAUCUGGUUCAUAAUGAACAAUACUUCCAAUCUUCUCCAAACAAAUACUCUCUUUCAAGUAAAAUUAAAUCAUGGCCAUUGCAUUUUAUAUAAGCAAAGUAUGACAAUUUGUAUAGUAAAAACCCUUCUACACUGGUUCUCGAUUUACCAUGUCCACAGAACAACUUUGGUUGCUACUUGGAGCCUCAAAUUAUUUAGUGCAUAUGCAAUAAUCAGCGAAAAUGGGAAAAUGCUUGAUCCAACGCAACCAUAUGCUGCUAUGCUAAGGAAGCUCAAUUGGCAACUCAGCUCUCGCCUCAAAAUCUAUCAGCAUAGCAUACUCCAUUUUGAUUUGCAGACAAAGUGGAAAUGGCCCUGAUGGUGUAAUCCAUUACCUCCUCAACGACGUCUUGACAGUCAUGUUGCAAAUGUACGGGAAGUCAAGCGGCGGCGUGGGCGUGGGCGGGGCACCGGGCGCGCCCACCGCGUCCAGCGACACCUCCGCCGUGCACGCCAUCUCCCCGUAGUCGUCGUCGUCCUCGUUGCCCUCGCCCUCCUCCUCAUCCCCGUCUCCCGUGGCGGCGGGGCGGUAGUACCCCACGAGCACGGCGGCGUGCGGGGCGAGGCCGCGGCGCUCGAAGAGGUAGCGGCGGAUGACGAACGCGAGGAGCUGCUCGUACCGCUGCGCGGGUGCCCACCUGACGUUCUCGGCGAAGGACGACGCGAGGAGGCGGACGAGCGCGUCGGACUCGUCGUCGUCGCCCGCCGGGGUGAGCGCCCGCACGGUGAGGCGGCCGUGCGGGAAGGAGUGCGCGUAGCGGAAGGCGGCGAGCUCGUCGCGCUGCGACAGCGCGCGCGGCGAGAGGAAGACGCCUCCCCCUCCCCCCGCUGGCCCCGUGACGAUGCCGCCGUCGCCCUCGCCAUCGGACGACGACCGAGAGGCCGCGAGGCGUGCCCGGUGGCGAGGCCGCGAGCGGUAGGGGGGGCAGGAGAAGAGGAGGCGCGGGUGGGUCGGGGCGGCUGGGGAGACGGCCGGGAGGAGGAGGAGGAAGGCCGCGGACGCGGCGGCCAUGGCCGGCGCGGCGGAGCGGAAGCGGAGGUGGGUGUAGAGAUUAGAAGCGAUUUCUUUUUCUUUCCUUUUUUUUUUGAAACGGGUCCACGUGGAUAAACGCCAACUGUGCGUCGCUUAGAUACCAACCCUGAAAUCUGAAUCUUCUGAACCUUCUCUGUGCUCCACACAACGUUCUGAACGGAACCUCUCUAUCUGAUCACCCGUUGCCAUCUCCGUCGCUUCAACCACCUGCAAGCUGCAACCGAGAUACCAACUCUGAAUAUUCUGAACCUUCCUGCCAUGCGUAGCACACCAUUUUACAUCAUUGAUUCAGGUCCUGUUUAGUUCGUGAAAAAGAAAAUUUCGAAGUGCCACACCGGAUGUUUGAUCAAAUGUUGUAAGAGAUUUUUGGACACGAAUGAAAAAAUUAAUUUCAUAACUCGCCUGGAAUUAUGCUCAAAAGAUUCGUCUCGCGAUUUCUCUUUUAAGUGUACAAUUAGCUUUUUUAAUUUAUAUUUAAUGCUCCAUACAUGUGUCCAGAGAUUUAAUACGAUGUUUUUUUAGAAAAAAGUUUUAGGAACUAAACUACCCUCAGCCAAGCAAGCUAGAAAGCUUAUGCCAAUUCACUUGGUAUACGGAAGAGAGAUGGAGAAAUGCAAAUCAUGGAAUUGAGUUCAGCUGGUUAGUUCAGACAGUUACUAGAAGGAGUACUUCCGAUCACUGUUACCCGCAUCACUGUUGCCAACGGCAAACCGAACAGGCAUUAUUACCCGCAUUUUCAGAUCAAGAAUCCCAGUAUCGCACCAGCACAAUCAGUAUCACUCUCACUCUCACACUACCAUUAACGUACUCCCUCAUUCCAACCAACGUUGUUUUAUUUUGGGACAGGAGUACCCGUUAACAGUAAUAAGUCUCUGGCUCUCUGCACCGGCCAACACGUUCCCGGUCUAUCGUUACCUAUUCUUGUACCACAUCAAUCUGCACCGACGCCAUAAAUUGUGUGCUGCGAUAGGUAGCUGGAUCUCGCCGGAGUGCAUCAAUGGCCAGCAGCGGUAGUAGCUCCCCACAAUCAAAGCAGCUGACCGUGGCUAUAUAAUAAGGCUCUAACGCCAUGGCCACACAACAAAGAACUCAAGAAGCAAUUAACAUUCGCAUUCAUCAGCUGGUAGGUAGUGUGAGCUAGAGAUUAAGGGAGAGAGAGAGAUCAUGGCGUCCAAGGUUGAGCUGGUGGUGGAGGUGAAGUCGCCGGCGGACAAGCUGUGGACGGCGCUGCGCGACUCGACGGAGCUGUUCCCCAAGAUCUUCCCCGAGCAGUACAAGAGCAUCGAGACCGUCGAGGGCGACGGCAAGUCCGCCGGCACCGUCCGCCUCCUCAAGUACACCGAAGGUAAUAUGCACUUAAAAAAUCUCGUGUUUAAUUCUCAACACGUUCAUAUUGUUUUUUAAAAAAAAUGUUUAGAGUGACGUCUCUCCGGCCAACUCUCAUUUUUACGAAUGAUGCCUCCGAUCGAUGUAUGAACUUUAUUGAAGGGGUGCCGAUGGUGACGUUCGCGAAGGAGAAGGUGGAGGUGGCGGACGACGAGAAGAAGGUGGUGUCGUACAGCGUGGUGGACGGCGAGCUGGUCAGCUUCUACAAGAACUUCAGGGUGACGCUGCAGGUGACCCCCAAGGGCGGCGCCGCCGCCCCCGCCGCCGACGGCGCGGUGGUGAGCUGGACCAUGGACUUCGACAAGGCCAGCGAGGAGGUGCCCGACCCGGACGUCAUCAAGGAGACCGCCGCCAAGACCUUCCACGACCUCGACGACUACCUCCUCAAGAACUAGCCAGACAGCCAGAUCGAGCGCCGCCGUGCGGGUGCGUGGCUUAUGUGUUAGAGUCCAC
rnacentral:lncRNA from 1 species